GAGAGAGAGAGAGAUCUGCAUUGCCAUUUGAUCAGCUUAUUAAAUUCCUAUCUGCUAUCUCCCAUCUGAUAUCUGAUUGGGAGGCCACAAUAUUGAUCGAUAUUUGCAUAUUUCUUGCACGUAGCGCUGUACGUGUACAUUUCUUCUACUGAAUUAGUUGAGGCUGUUGGUCCGAAACAAAGAAAACCGCAAUCUUUUGAUUUAAUUAAACAAAGAAAACCGCAAUCUUUUGAUUUAAUUAGUUGGUAAAUACUACGCAUAUAUGUUUACGACACAUUAAGUCAUAUAUGUACAGCUAGCUAGCUGCAGUUACUUUCUUGCAUGAUUAACCAUAAACGACUAAUAAGUAAUGAGAAAUGUUAGCAAUCUUCUCGAUGAGAGUUCUUCUACCCUUUCUAUUGUUUUUAACAAUCCUGCAAUGUUGUAUGAUGAUGGAAACUAUCAAUUUUUUAGGUCAUACAUUAAAGAUCAUCUAUGCAAACUUCUAAAGUGGAUUUUUUUGAUAUAAACGGGACCAUCAAAUUAUUAUCCAAUAAUAAAUAGGACCAUAUUUUUAGUUAAAUAGAAGUAAAUUUAGACAACACUAAUCAAAUGGUUAAACGAUUGAUGUUGUGUGUGUUUUUAUUUUUAUUUUUUAUAGGAUUGAUUUUUAAGGGGUGACCUAGAUGAUAGACAAUUUUAAUCAUCAAACAACGUUAAAGGAUUAUAGAGAAAAAUGAGAAUAUACAAUUAAAAAGUCUAAAUGAGAACAUUGCUAGCAUCCCCGUAGUGACUAGGAGGGUUAAUUACUUUGUAAGAAAAUAAAGCUCCAUUUUAUGGGAGCUUACUUGCAUUUCAAUACUCAACAAACAAACAUCUCUUUUCAUGCUUAUGGUUUGCUUAAUUAAUCAGUUACGACUAGUUAGGUUAGUCCGAUUUAAUUAGGUUGGUUAGAUUAAUUAUACAUUUUUCAAGAAAGUGUGAAUUUUGGGAGGAAGACUGAGAAAAAGACAGCUCAAGUUUAUUCACAAGAAAAGGUAACCCCUCAAAAUAUAGUUGGCAUUAACUGAGAAAUCAUGAGACCAUCUGUCAAUCUACACAUUUUGGUCAUGGUCGACAGCAUUUUCUGAUGGAUCCGGUUCUCUCCUCUUCCGUUUUCCCUCCCCUUCAGUCUCUUCUUAUUUGAAUGUUCAUGAUUUAGCCACAUAAAUAUCGUGUGUUGACUUCUUUAUAAAGAAAGAAAAACAAAGAGGAAAAUGAGAGAAGAAAAGAGGGAAGGGAAGAAGAUUUAGAGGGGAGAGAAAAAGACCGAGGAAAAUGAUACCACCUUUACUUUUGUAGCUAGCUUUUUUUGGCUUAUGAUAUUGAAGGCCGUCCUCUCCACCUCCCAUGAAUUCUUUUCCUUUUUGGAUUACUAGGGACAUUGGAAGAAGAAAACCGAACACACUACCCCGGGUGUAUGAGUACAUAUGCUUAAUCACUUGAGUUAUAAGUCUCUUAUCGCUUAAGUUAUUUUUUAGAGCAUAUAUUUGAUUCUAUAUUUCUGUAAAAGUUUUGCACAGUUAUUUGAAAACUUUGAUAAUCUCUACCAACUAGGACAACUUUCCUGCCUAAGAUUGAACCAAGAGUGAGCGAUCCAAAGUUUAUAAGAGUGGCACUACGAAUGGCAUGGUUUAAGUGACCCUACACAAGUUUUUCUCAUUUUUAUAGUACAGAGCAAGGUCACACCAUGCUGGUGAUUAGUUGGUAUACAUCAAAUUAUCCCUUUAUCUGAUACACACUACAAAUUGCUUUGCCUUUGCAAAGCACAGAUCUGAUUCGUCUGCAUUUGCUUUACUAAGUGGGCCAAUUUAGUUCGAACGCAAAAAGAAUUUAAAUUCAAAGACCUUGUUUAGUUGUUUUAUCAUUAGCACAAACAGUCACAUUAGCCUGCACGUUAUAUCCAAAUGGAAGCCCUACCAUUGUGAUCAUAAAAACAUAAACCUUUGUAUGAAUAAAGUCGUGUGUUGGAGCCGAAAAGAUUCGGGUCCUCCGACUAUUAUUUUUCGUUGUUGGGGAAUUUAAUAUUUCUGGCGUACAUCGCCAUUUCAUGAACAUAGACUGAAAAGAUUUUUAAAUGUGCCCGAACUAGCAGGAGUUAGCCAUAUGUUAUUAUCAGGGAAGUGUUUUUUUGCUCAACUGUAUCUAAACUUGUAUAAUAACAUAUGGUGCAUGCAUCCAUAUUCCGAACACACUGAAAAUUCUCUCCAUAGGCUGGACUGGCUGACCUUCCAGAGCACGGUUUUGCCACCGACAGCAGAGCACAGCGCUAGCAGGGCGGCACAGUCGGAACCCAAAUCUGGUUUUGCAAUGGGGAGCAAAACCAGCAGGUAGAAGAGAGAAAGGGAAAGCUUGGAAUGCAUUUCGGUGGUGUUUUUGGUGAAUUGAGAAGGGGGCGGGGCGGCGCAGUGGGGGUUGGUUUUCCUGGGUUUUUCAAAGUUCAUACAGUGUUUUGAUGGUCGGGUUUCAGAGAAGGGGAGGAGAUAGCUAGAAAUACAAAUACAAAGCUCUCGUCACACCAUGCUGGUGAUUAGUAAAGAUAAUGCUAGGAAGACCAAAUUUGCAAACCAAAUAAUGUGUCACUAAUAGGAAAUAAGUAUGUUAAUCAACACUUUAGUAAUAAUUCAAUCAUCAACAUCCAUAUCAUUUGAUAUACAGAAUUUAAUCUUCCUAGCAUUACCCGAUUAGUUGAUAUAUAGCAACAUCGACGAACGCAGCGGAAUAAUCAGAAAAGCCUUAGACGAGCUUCUAAAACUGAAAACACACCAAAAACACAAUCUCUGGAAUCCACCAGAUUGACUAAAACUCAAAAGUUUAAUUGAUCUGAAAUCUGAAAGUUACAGCAAAGAACUAGGGUUUAUAUAGCCAUCAACUCCUAAUCCCAUGAUAACGAAAUGAAAGAAAAGAUCGAAUUGCCAUAUCAAUUUCAAACAGAAACUCUAACAUCAAUUUAAAGCAGGGAAAAGAUCGUCAAGAACAAUCUGAUGUUUAACAGAAACCUAAUAACACGGAUAAUUAAAACCAUGAUAUUUGCUUUAAAGCUCCAACAAGAUAGAAAAGUAACACAAAAUCUGUUGGAAGUGGUAGAUUUAGAAAAGAGAGGUUCCCUUCCCCUUCUUGUCUCCACCAAUCUCGAAAUGCUUGCACCUCUGCAGAAAUCAGUGAUAACAACCAACCAUUAGCGAAAAUCACGGUUAUACACAAAAACGAGCAAAUUGCACACACAAUACACUAACCUUGAUUGGGUGCUGGGACACAUGCUUGCAACCCUGGCAUUGGAGCCUCAGAACAAUCUUCUUGGUAGUUUUUGCCUGUUUAUAAAGUUAAACGUGAUCAUCAUUGAGAAAACAAACAAUAAGAACAGAGAAAUCAAUCUUGCGGAAAAAGAAAUAUCUAGACAUUUGGUUUUCAUUUAUUCUUUAUUUAUUCCCAGUAAGAAAAGGGGGUAAGAACUCAAUGCUUUACCUUCUUGUGGAACACUGGUUUGGUCUGACCUCCAUAACCUGACUGCUUACGAUCAUAACGCCUCUUUCCCUGAGCAGCAAGGCUAUCCUUUCCUUUCUUGUAUUGGGUAACCUUGUGCAAGGUGUGCUUUUUGCACUCCUUGCUCUUGCAGUAGGUCUUCUUUGUUUUGGGAACGUUCACCUAACACAUUACCACAUUUGUAACGAUCCAUUAUCAAACAAAUCACACAGAAACACAAACUACAACAGGGAUUAUGCAAUCUGAAAAAAAAAAAAACAAAAAACCCAAUUACAGGACGCAGCAUAAGAAAUUACCAACCAACACCAAAAUAAUCACAAAAGAACAGUUUUACACGACGUGUGCAGAGCAAGAAUAACUUAGACACAACAAUCUAAUAACCAUAUUCAAAAAUCAGAACACACUUCACAAAUCAUCCCAAACACAAUGAAGCGGACUUCGCGCAGUUCAUUGUCAGAUACGUAACUUUGCAGUCUAAGAGGCAUUCAUAAUCCAAGGCGUGACUAAUGGAGGCAACAGUGGCAGUUGGGUAUCUUCAUACUUAUUGAGUACUCGAUCACAAGCAAAACCCAAUGUGCUCCGGUUCCACAGUGGGUACCGGACCACCGUGAAAUCCCGGACACCCAUUUUCUAUUUCGGGCACUCGAUAGUCAUCCAUAGGAAAAACACCUACAGCUUCAAUUGUUACAUUUUCUUCUGAGCUAGACCAAAACAAGUUUAUGCCAAUUUUUUUCGACGAUUCAAAUAUCGCAUCCAUCAUACAAUCAGACUAUAAUCUUAACACAAAUCCCAAGUUUAACCCACAAGAUUAAAGCAAAGAACAACAGCAAUCAUCUCAUAACCACUAAAUACUAACAGACUCACAUUGGAAAAUCAAACACAGAAGCAGUAAAUAUAUGAUUAAUAUUGUUGUGAGAGACAUAGAGAGAGAGAGGUACCAUGGCGACGGCGGGUUCGUAUGGAGAUGACUCUGCAGUGGAGCAGAAGCGGCCUCUCAGUAGAACCCUAGAAGAGGCACUUGCGUCAGCUGUUACAUGGGUUACCUUUUAGGGUUUUUGUCGAUUGAACUUGGGCUCGGGUCUAGGUCCACCUCGAUCAGCCCGUAAAAUCACCCUGCCCACUAUUUUGACUAAUUUUUUAGGGUAUUUGGGACUCUGUCAAGUCGUGGUGUUAUUGUUUCACUCAAAUAAUUAUAGGAGAGUGACUUUUACGUAGAUUUCACUCCAUAAACAAAGAAUAGUACACCAGUCGCCGUGUACCCGACACAAAAACUUCUCCACUAUUACGUACAUCACAAAAACUAGAGUUGAUUAGUGUGUUGUCUCGGUGAAUUCCGAGCUCAAAUCACUCUCCUCGUAAAGACUAGAUGAUAUCCGAAUUUUUUCUCGACAAUCAAGACCAUGAAAUACAGUUGGACGAGAGAGGAAAGGGCGUAGAUUGCAGGGCAAAUCCUAAAAUCCAAUGUAUAACGUUGUAUGUAAAAACUACAUUAUAGUUAGCAACGUCAGGACUUUGUAUUUCUAUCAACGUUGUUCUUUUUUUGUUCUACGAGUGCGAGGAGAACCAUCUUUUUGCUGUAAUAAAGUGAGGUUACCGGUCUUUCCCAUGACGGUACAAAUACAAGUUACGACUAAAACUGUAAAAAUUGAUGCCAUAUGCAACGGAUCCGGCUGGAAUGAGCCCCAUAAUAACGGUGGCCUGUCCACGCUGACUGAUGCAAAUCCCUCUCCCGACUGCCUCUUCCUGCGAAAUGAGCAAAUGGUUAAGAGAGGCUAGUGUGUAUGCAAGAUGAGUUCAGAACAUAUAGAAAAGAACUCGACUGAGGCAUACCCCAACACGCCCUUUAUCGAGUCCCACAGGGAUGCAGAACGUUUAGUUGCCUGGCUUGACGCAUUGGUUCUAUGCUUGCCAAAGUUCCUAUCUCGUAUCCCUGAAAUAAGCAUGAAAUUAAUCCUACUACGGUUUUUCAACUAGAUAGAUGUUGAUAAGAGUAUGAAACCUAUACCGGUGCCUUUAGAAGCAGCUGAAUGACCUUCUCUAGAUGCUUUAAGCGAAGCCAGUUCUUCGACAAGUGCACGUUCCUUAUCACUGUCAUUAAAAUUACAAUAAAUUCCAACGAAGAACAAAAUGCAAGGUAUUGGGAUAUCAAGCUGGAUGCCAAGUUCAACUAAUAAGUUUAAAUUAUAGGAAAGAAGGGAGCAUAACAUAGUUUAAGGAUACCAACCUGAUUAUCUUUGGGAUCAGAACAUUGACAGUAAAAUGAUGAUCUCCUCGAGAAGAAGGUCUGUUGAUGUCUGGAACCCCCAUGCGUCGCAACUUUACCGUCUCUCCAGGCUGAAUUCCAGAAGGAAUCUGAAGCUCUUUCAAGCCUUCAACAGUUUCAACCUGACGUUAUAUCACAAUUUCCAUGUCAUACAACUUAUACCAAAUAAUAGAACAUUGAUAUUCAUAGACCCUCACUGAGAGAUAAAGCUAGGAUUACCUUUAUAACGGUCCCUAAAAUGGCUUCGGUAUAAUCAAUAUUGAUUUUUGAGUACAGAUUGAGACCAUCUCUUCGAAUUCCAGCCUUUUCAUCUACAUGGAGUACUAUGUAGACAUCUCCAACUUUACCCCUGCCAAAUGCAGAUGACAAAGAAAUUAGCGCAGAGCUUGCCUUAUUAUCAAGUCACAUACAGCAACAUUCGUGAACAAGUAUAAUCACACAAACUCUAAAAAGGUGUAACAUAAAAGUGCAUGCCAUGGGUAGAGAUCAGAAAACGUUGGUGUUUUAUUUGGAAUUUGUAUCCGUCGUAAAGGUAGAUUGUUUUCAAACGCAUUGGAUUAACAACCACUUAGGACAGAAAUCAACAACUAGACUAUAUGAGCAAAACAUAUUUGACGUAUGCUUAAAUUGGAACUGUGUAUAAACCUUUUCUUAUCCAAAUUCCCCUCCCCUUGAAUUUGCAUUGUGGCUCCAUCAUUAACACCGGCUGGAAUGCUUAUGCUCAUAGCUCUUUUUGACUGCACUUGUCCUUUGCCACUGCAUCUUUGGCAAGGAUCAGUGAUUAUUCUACCAUCACCACCACACUUUGAGCAGGUUGAUACCUAUUAAUAAAAAAAUAUCAUCUAUGAAGCACAUCUCUAAGACGUAUAGUGUAAUCUUGAAAGGAUGAUAGGAAGAAAGAAAUCUACGGUGUCUAUGUUAUGAGGCUAAGAAAAUUUAUGCAUAAGACCAUCUCCAACCAAAAGGGCUAAAUAUAAACCCGUCUUGAAUUAUAGACCUGCAAAAAAUUAUUUUUAAAUGACCAAUGUCAGGCCAUACUCAUACACCAUCUCCAACCGGAGGGGCUAAACAUAGCCCCCUUAAUAAUUUAUUAGUUUUAAGUUUAUACUUUAAAUUUAUUGGUUAAUUUGAUUAAACUAACUUUGGAUGUUUUUAAAUCUAACUGUUGAAUUUGAAUCAAUUAUUGCAUUUGAGGAGCUGGGCACCAAAAAAGGGCUAAGAGGGGCUACAUUUGGCUAGCCUAAUGCCCUUUUGGCUAAGUAAUGGCCUGGUGGGCUCCACAUAAUUAUAGGCUAGCCAUCGGUUGGAGAUAAGUUUUUGGGCAAAUCAGGCCAGCUUUUGGACCUUUAGCCCUUUCGAUUGGAGAUGGCCUAACUGGACUUAAUGCGGUUUCAAUGACUUUUAAUGUUAAAACAGGUCUGUUUACCUGCGAAAUCAUUCCAAAUGGUGUUUUCUGAGUUUUCAUCACCCCUCCUCUUCCUCCACAACCAGUACAUGAUUUUAUGCCUUUAUCAGAUUUAGCACCUGUUCCACCGCAGUCAUCACAUGUCUCAACACAAGAAACUUGGAUUUCUCUCUGUACCCCAAAAAUGGAUUCUUCAAAGCUCAAAUACAGAUCGUACCUGCAACAUGAAAGUUAAAAGAAAAGCCAAUAAAACAUAAAUUUAUGUGCCUUCAUAAAGAUAAUUCAACAGUACGAGUGCCGCUAGACAGUUACCGAAUGUCAAGACCCUGGUUUCCCCUGUUGCUGAAAUUGAAGUUCAUGCCUCCUGAUUCACCCCUUCCUCCAAACAUCCCAUCCGAACCUCCAAAGAAUGUAUCAAAAAUGUCAAAAGGAUCCACCUAUUGAACGUUGAUGGUUCCAUUAGCAUGCAGUUAAACUAGUUAUUUCCUUCACUAGAAAAGCAACCAAAAUUAAAUUAUUAAGUACAAUACAUGUUCCCGUGUCUGUAUUACUCAGAAGACCAAGAAGAUCUUACCCCUGAUGGACCCAUGGUUGAGGAACCAUAGUCUCCCUGUAAACCUGCUUCACCAAAGCGAUCAUAUAAAGACCUUUUCCCAUCAUCUGAUAGGACCUACAAAGAUUCUUCAUUAGAAUAUGAAUGAUGGGUUCAUAGAACAACAGUCAAAUCAAUAAAUGAUGAUAAAUGAAUGAAAAAAAAAAACCAUCUUGUACUGAAAAUUGAUACCUAAAGAACAACGGAAAUGCGAAGACGAAGAGAAAAAUGACAAUGCAGCAACAUUGAAGAAGAAAAACUAGAAAUCGUAAAUUGUAAUACCUCAUAUGCAGCACUAAUCUCUUUGAACUUGUCCUCAGCUCCACCGCCCUUGUCCGGAUGAUACUGCUCCAAGUUACAACAUUUCCGACAUCAAAUUUCAAUUCACCUUAAACUGGGAUUAUAUUAUAUCAUCUCCCCUAUCAUGCCUAAUUACAACAUAAUUAACACCAAAAUCACCGCCUUCCGGACGAAAAAUCUAAAGCUUUCGCUAACCGCAACCCUUUCGAGCAUAUCAAGCAGCUUAAAACCAGCUUAGCUUACAGUGCUAAAUUGGGUUUCGAACUAUCCAACUUCAAACUUGUAAAAAUCUUUUCUUUGGCUUCAAUUUCUAGGCAAAUAACACGCAUUGUGACAUUAGCAAUAAGAAGUAGCUAACCUUUCGGGCGAGAUUUCGAUAAGCGGACUUGAUCUCCUGCAGCGUGGCGGUUCUGGGGACGUUGAGAGUCUUAUAGUAAUCGGUUCCGGCGGCUCUGAUGGCCAAACGAGCCCCGCGCGGGGGAUUGGCGCGGAGGAAAGAAGCGGAAUUGGGUUGGAAGAUUGGGUUUUUACUUCUGGCGAAGAAUGUAGAAGCGGCGGAGCUGAGGGCGGAGCAGCUCAAAGAAUAGGGCGGAAGUGGAACCGCGGAGUUGGGAUUUGGCGGGAAAUUGGAGAUGCAGGUGGUUUGGAGUACGGGCAUACUUCGGUUUUUGAGAUUGAAAAUGGACGGUGGAGAUGGUUCGAUGGAGAUUAGGAGGGUUUGGGGGUUUUGCAGAGGUUUUAGGGUUUAGGGAUUACGCUGAAGAAGAAGUAGAAGAUGGUCAGACUGUCAGAAGUCGGAAUGAACAAAAGUUUGGACCCCAAUUGGCAAAUAUUUUCACAUACGACAAACAACAUUGAGGCAGAAAGUCUGUUUUACCCUACUAGAGCAUCAAAAUAGUGGGGCAUAAUUGACCUUUUGUGAUCCAUUUGUGAACUGAUCAUUUGAAAGCCUCUUUUUUUUUUUUUUUUUUUUUUUUUUAAUGAACUUGCAAGUUUUCACUUCAACUCAAAGCUUGCUCAAUCUUGUUCUUCUGCCGCCGUAUCCGCCGUGUUAUAAAUUGAGCAGCAUUUGUAUCAACGGUUUUUGUUUUUGUUUUCUUUUCUAUGAUGGAGGAAAGAAAUUUCGGUUGGGCUAUUAGUAUAGCUCUCAGGUUGGGAAGGACUAUCGUGAAGUAAGGUGAGACCAAAACAAACAAAGGAAAGUAUCGACACUACCAAGUCCCAACCAGCAGCCCAGUGAGUGCAAACAAGUCUAUCACAUAAUCCUUCAGUUGAGUUGCAGCAUGUGAAAAAUGCAGGAGGACUCAUCCAAAAGUAUCAGUCAUAUGCUACCUACUCGGAUAAACAUGUCUCCGACGCUACUCUCCCAGAAAUUCCACCUAAGGUCAAAAGACUCAAAUCUACGACAACUAGAGCUAGGUGCUCUUGUUGUUAAGCAACAUAUUAAGUUGCAGUAAUAUAAUAUCACAGAGAAGAUGAAGAGGUUUUAGAGAUAGAAAGAUAGAGAGAGAAAUGAAUUAUAUUUCUGUACUACAAAGUUACUGAAUUACUCUACUUACAAUUGUUAUAUAGUUAUCUAUAUUACUUCUUCACUAAGACACCUUAUCCUACUUAUAACAACCAUACUGAUCUUAUAACAACCACACUGAUCUCUUGACACAUGUCAAUGUAUCUAACCAUCUAUUAUCUAUACUGUUAACAUCCUCCCUCAAGCUCAGGAGAAGGACCACGAAGCCUGAGAUUGCAGCAAUGAGCACGAAAAAGUGGUGCAGAUAGGCCCUUUGUCAGAAUAUCAGCAAAUUGCUCAUUAGAGGAAACAAACUGCAUUUGAAGUAACUGUUGGGCAACCCUGUCACGAACAAAAUGGAUAUCAAUCUCAAUAUGUUUGGUUCGUUGAUGCAUCACUGGAUUACAAGUCAGAGCAAUAGCCGAGAGGUUAUCACAAAACAUAAUGGAUGGAGUCGAAACUGUAAUCUGCAGAAAAGUGAGAAUCUGUCUUAUCCAAUCAAGCUCAGCUGCUAUUGUAGCAAUGGCACGAUACUCAGCUUCAGUAGAAAGAGCGAGAGACAGUGUUCUGCUUCUUUGAUGACCACGAAAUGGGAUUAGAACCCAAGAAAACAACCAAACCUGUUGUAGAGCGUCGAUCAUUCGGAUCCCCUGCCCAGUCCGCAUCACUAAAUGCAUUUAACUCCAAGUCGCCCUUUGUAUAUUGAAGACCAUAAUGUUGAGUGCCAUUAAGAUACCGUAAUAUCCUUUUGACAGCCAAGUAAUGAGACUCCAUGGGACACUGCAUGAACUGAGCAACCUGAUGUACCGAAAAAGCAAUAUCAGGUCUUGUGAAAGUUAGAUACUGUAAGGCGCCCACUAUACUUCUGUACAAUGGAGGAUUGUCAAAUGGUAUGCCAUCAUCCUUAAGAAGGCGAUGAGAAGGCAGACAAGGAGUAGCACAAGACUUGGACUGAUGCAUUUCUGUCUUUGUCAAUAAAUCGGUGACAUAUCUAUGCUGAGACAGAAACAACCCUUCUGUAUUGGUUGUGAUUUGAACACCAAGGAAAUAAUGGAGUGGUCCCAGAUCCUUGAUAUCAAAUUCUGUAGCCAACGCAGAAAUGAGCUCUGGAAUUACAGAAAUGGCACUGCCAGUGAUGAUGAUAUCAUCCACAUAGAGAAGAAAAAGUACUAUUCCAGAAGAAGUAUGUUUGACAAACAAUGAAGUGUCGGCAUAAGUUGUGUGAAAUCCCAAGGAAGGCAAGAACUUAGUAAAUCUCUCAUUCCAUGCCCGGGGAGCUUGUUUGAGACCGUAUAAAGACUUGUGAAGUUUACACACUGAGGAUGAAUAGAUAGGGUCUACAAACCCCGGAAGCUGCGCCAUAUACACUUCUUCUUCCAAAAUACCAUGCAAAAAAGCAUUUUUGACAUCGAGCUACCGUAAACCCCAACCAUAAUGUGCAGCUAAGGCAAGAACAAGACGUACUGUAGUAGGCUUAACAACAGGACUGAAGGUUUCACCAUAAUCGAUUCCUGCCUCUUGAUUGAACCCCUUGGCCACAAGCCGAGCCUUGUAUCUCGAAAUGGUACCAUCAACAUGUCUCUUGAUCUUAAAAACCCACUUGCACCCCACAAGGUUUCUGUUUGAUGGUAAAAGAACUAAGGACCAAGUUUUCUGGGAAUGCAAGGCUUGUAGUUCCUCCUCCAUGGCUUUAUACCAAACUGGCGAUUUAAGAGCAGAUUUAUAAGACAGUGGUUCAAUCUGAGAUAAGUCAACGUCUGUAGUUGGAGAAGUCAGAGCACUAAAUGCUUUCUUCUUGACAAUACCACUCUUCGAUCGUGUUUGCAUAGGAUGCAAGUUAAAUGGAGGUAGAGGAAGAAUGACUUGUAAACUUUCUGGAAGAAACUCAGGAGCCACAGGAAUGGAAGGAGAAGUACACUGAGGGACAUUGCAAGUAAUGGGGGAGCUGAUGUCGUCGGUUGCUGUUGGCUGAGACAGUUCAGGUGCAGGAGAAAGAUUGGAAGAUCUAGGAGUGGCAGUAGCAGUGCGAGGUAUAACACUAAGGCUAGGCACGGAUGAAUUAGAUGACACUCCAACAAGCAGGUUAUCCCGUGUAAUAGACACUGGAUUCAUUGGUAUUUUAGGAACAGACUGUGAAGUAGAAACAGAUGACUUUUGGACAAGAGAGGAAUAAGGGAAAUCACCCACUCAUCAAAAUAUAACAUGUCGUGAAAUAUAAAUUCUCUUUGAGCUAACUUCAAAACAGAUGUACCCCUUGUAUUUAGAUGCAUAACCCAGAAAGAUACAUAAUUUGGUUUUAGGUUGCAGCUUGUUACUAGUAUAAGGCUUUAAGAAUGGGAAACAUGCACAACCAAAGAUUCUAAGGUGUUGAACAUCUGGAACUGAAUUGAACAGAACCUCAAAUGGUGACUGAUUAUUUGUAGUUGAAGAAGGCAUCCUAUUUAUAAGGUAUAUCGCAGUUUGACAAGCAAAUGACCAGAAAGAUGCUGGAAGAUGUGCAUUCUGUAACAAUGUGAUGGAGGUUUCAACUACAUGCCUAUGUUUGCGUUCUGCCAGCCCAUUUUGUUCUAGAGUAUGGGGACAAGAGAUUUGAUGAGUGAUCCCUUUAUCUAACAGAAAAGAUUGAAGAGUGUGACUUGUAUAUUCCCCACCCCCAUCACUUUGUAAAGUUUUAACAGAAACUGCAAAGUGAUUAAAAAUGAACUGAUAGAAACCAAUGAACACAGAGCAGACUUCACUUUUAUUAUGUAGAGGAAAAAGCCAACAAUAUCGAGUACACUCAUCAAUGAAUGUCACGUAGUAUUUAAAACCAUCAAUAGAGGUACAAGGAGCAGGGCCCCAGACAUCACUAUGAACUAUUUGAAAAGGAUUUACAGCCUUAGACACAGAGGAUGAAAAUGGGAGCUUGCUGAAUUUUCCUUGUAAACAAGAAUGACACACAGAAGAUGAGACAUCAUAGGGGACUGAGAUAUUGGACGUUCUAAGAAUAGUAAACAAAAUGGAAUUGGAUGGGUGACCUAGUCUGCUAUGCCAUAAAUUGGAAUGUACUUUCUGUCCAAGAAAUGCAGUUGUAGAGGCUUGAUUCUGAAUUGCAGCUGGUCUUGACAUUGGUAGUGGAUAUAACCCAUUACUGCACUGGCCCUUGUACAGAAUCCUCCCUGUGGCUUUGUCCUGAAUCCAGAAAGUAAAAGCAUCAAAGAUUAGCCAACAAUGGUUAUCUAGACAAAUUCUGUGCACAGACAACAAAUUCUGAGUAAUUUUGGGAACAUAUAAAAUGGAAUUAAGCUUCAAAUUUUGAGUAGGGGUCCGAAUGAUAGAAGAACCAAUGUGUGAAAUGGGUAAACCUGCACCAUUCGCAGUUUGAAUGGUCUCUGUGGAUGAGAAUGAAGUAGCCAAGGAAAGAUUCUGUAAGUCUGCAGUGAGGUGAUUUGUUGCCCCUGAAUCUGUAAUCCAGAACUGCUGAGAUGAAUCAUUUGAUGGUGGAGUGGAUGAGGAAGAGUUUACAUGCAUUGCCGUCAUUUGAGAAGCAGAACCAGAAAUAUUGGCAUUUCGAAAAUGACAGAACUGAGCAGUGUGAUUCUUCUUGCCACAUAUUUGACAACCAUCAACUACAACAACAUCAGUAUUUCGAAACCGACAGGUAUCAGCAAGGUGACCAAAUUUUCCACAUAUUUGGCAAGCUGAUUGGGUUGGAGGGGCACCAAGAAUACCAGGAGCAGGGAGUUGUAUAGGUAUUUCGUGAAUUCCCAAAUCGAGAAUUAGUAUUAUAGUUGAAUUUUCCUCGAACCCUUGUUCUUGAUGUAAAUUAUUCUUGAAAAUAUGUAUGUUGCUGAAGUGGGACACCAGAGACACCAGAAGAUUGAUGUGGUGAAUACCCGGGACUUGGAUUGGCAGAAACCCCUUGACUAUGACCACCAGAUUCAGAGUUCUUGGCAAUCAUGGCAGACAAAAAAUGGCGUAACAGCUGUAUUCUCAAUCAUUGCUUCUUCAGCAAGCAACUGAGACCUCAGAUCCUUAAGAGAAAUAACAUUCUCUCGACCUCGAAUGAUAGACCGGAUGGUAUUAUAUUCUCCGAUAAGCCAUUAAGAGUGAGAAUGACAAUAUCAUCAUCCUCGAAAUGAACUCCGGCAGCUGCCAAAUAAUCACGAGCAGCCUUGAUCCUCUGCAAGAAUUGAGAUAUAGAAUCAGGGCCUUUCUUGAUAUUCUGUAACUCAGACUUCAUCUGGAAUAUGGUUGCACGAGUAACAACAGAAAAUUGCUCCUUGAGACGAAUCCAUAGAUCCCGAGCACUGGUGCUUCCAAUGACACAUGAAAUAGCGGAUGGAGAAAGGGUGACAGUAAUAAGCUGCAUCAAAGCUCGAUCAUGCAUCUUCCAGAUCUUGUAUGCAUCUGUUUCAAUUCGGGACGAGGAAUCUCCAGAAUCUAAAUCAGAAUCGCCAGACCCAGAAGAGCCAAACUGUGCAGGACAAGGACUAGAACCAUCCAAGAACCCCAUAAUUCCAUGACCUUCAAGUAGGAAUUGCAUCUGAAAGUGCCAUGUGAGGUAGUUGGAAUCAUCAAGCUUCACAGUCACCGACGUAGGAACGGUGGAGAUAAGAGAUGUGAUAGGCGAUUGCACAAUUUGUAGUUGAUUGGCAGUCACCAUUGCAAAAUUGUCGAAGAAGAGUUCUCACAGGAAAUGUAUCGAACACGUAGAGGGCACGAUUGCGCAGACGAAGAAUCACAACCCGAAGAACUAUGAAAAAUUCCCAGAUCAGAAGAACACAACAGAGAAAGAAAGAAUCUUGAGCGGCGGAAGUAAAAAUCAACAAUUCCAAGAUCAGAAAAAAAAACCUUUCAAGCACGUAGAGCUUGAUCGGCGAAUGAUACCAUGUUAAGCAACAUAUUAAGUUGCAGUAAUGUAAUAUCACAGAGAAGAUGAAGAGGUUUUAGAGAUAGAAAGAUAGAGAGAGAAAUGAAUUAUAUUUCUGUACUACAAAGUUACUGAAUUACUCUACUUACAAUUGUUAUAUAGUUAUCUAUAUUACUUCUUCACUAAGACACCUUAUCCUACUUAUAACAACCAUACUGAUCUUAUAACAACCACACUGAUCUCUUGACACAUGUCAAUGUAUCUAACCAUCUAUUAUCUAUACUGUUAACACUUGUAACGUUUGGUUCAUGUUGUUGAAUCCCACAUCGCCCAUACAAAAAAGAAAAGUAAUAGUUUAAAUAUCAUAAUCCCACUUUAACUAAUACCAAGGCCUUUUGUGAUAAAAUCUCACACCUGACGGAUUGUGCAAGUGGUAAUUAUCAAGUUGGGGAUAGUAUCGGUGUUGUUGGAAGUGGGUCGUAUGGCCUGUCUCUCUGAUAAUUCUACACAUGUCACUUCGUUGUUUAUCUCUUCUCGUUGCAGCUCAUCCAUCAGCAGAUCGAUCACAUGUGCCACUGAUCUGUAUCCCAUCUCCUGGCCUUCACUUAAGCACAAUGUGCAGAAAAUUAAGCACUGAAUGUGGGAUUUAGAAGAAAUGUAAAGGAACAAUAGAGAUACAUACAUUUCUAUAUUAUAGAGGGCUUCAGUGGAACCUGUUGUGCGGAAGCGGCAUUCAACUGUAAGUGAAUAGUAAGACAGAACAGAAUAAAACCAACACCAACAAGAACACCAAGAUUUAUACUGGUUCGGCAAUGCCUACAUCCAGUUUGGAGACGACGGAGUAUUCCACUAUAAUCAAUGAGAACAUACAAUAGUGUUGAUCACUCAAUUUCCCAAAGACCCGAAUAACCCAAGCUCUCACACUUACAAUAGGAAGAGAAAACCAAAAAUACAAAGCAAGACAAUUUGAGAAAAUUCUUCUCUAUGCCGAAUGGCUUCUUGCUAUUUUUCUCACUUCCUUGUUCUCCUCUUGUCUCUACUCAAUGCUUAUGAGCUACACCUUGCUCUCCUUUUAUAACCAAAGAAAAGCUUCUCAAAGACAUCAAUGGCCAAAGGGCUAACAUCAUCGGCAAUGCCUACAUCCAGUUUGGAGACGACAGAGUAUUCCACUAUAAUCAAUGAGAACAUACAAUAGUGUUUAUCACUCAAUUUCCCAAAGACCCGAAUAACCCAAGCUCUCACACUUACAAUAGGAAGAGAAAACCAAAAAUACAAAGCAAGACAAUUUGAGAAAAUUCUUCUCUAUGCCGAAUGGCUUCUUGCUAUUUUUCUCUCUUCCUUGUUCUCCUCUUGUCUCUACUCAAUGCUUAUGAGCUACACCUUGCUCUCCUUUUAUAGCCAAAGAAAAGCUUCUCAAAGACAUCAAUGGUCAAAGGGCUAACAUCAAGUCAAAAAGAGUUAGGCACAAUUGCAUGCAUUUUGUUUCCCACAUGUAGCAUGCCAUCCAACAAUUUUGACCACAAAAGUAGCCGAAAUUUUUUGAUCUUUGACUACAAGUUUGAGUCAAUAAUCAACAAUCUCCACCUUGGCUCAAACCCUCUAAGUAGAACUCCUAAUAGUCGUCUCCCACUCCCCCAUGGGGCAAUCAACAAAUUUUACAAACGCCAAUCAACAGAACCAUCUUUCUCCUGUAGGCAGCUCGGCCUAACACCAGCGAAAGAAGUUGGUGACUCCAUAAACUUGAACCAGCAAAUGCAUUCUGUCAUGACUCAUGACAUGGUUGGUCCAUGUCGAGGUUACCACAUCGCUUGCGGUCUUUUUCGACAUGCAUCUUGUUUCUUGUUGCUGCAUCUUUUUUUGAACAGGUGAGGAAAAGUGGACAAUUUGUAAUCUUUGGUUCAUAAAAAACAGGCUAUGCAGGCAAAGAGACUGAUCCAUACUCCACACGAACGGGAAAUUAAUUUCAGAUCUGAACCCUUUCGUUGAAUGAACAGUGGAUCUUCCUCAGUAUUCAUCGCAAAUACAAGGACAUGUAUAUGAUUGAGUUUUUCCGUUGUGUGAGGAUAAACUUACACAUAACAUAUAUUAUUGAACACGUUUGAAGAAUGACCUUCUCGAAUAGCUUACGUGUUACAAUAUGUGUUGACAACAAGGUUAAUAUGGGUUGACAUGUCUUCGAAAUUCGUUUGUGGUUUUACUUUGUUCCUAUAACAACCCAAGUCACUUGUCCACUUCUAUAGUUCUCUUGCUCCCCAGAUACCGUCUAACACUACCAUUUUCCCUCCUAUUCUAAUUUUCACGGUGACAAAGGCAAUGCCAUCGGUCUUCAUUCUUUGAUCGAAGCUUAAAGAAGUGAUUUCCGUGACAAAAAUAAAAAAUAAACAGAGGUAUGCGAAAAUCAUUUCCCUACAUACAUUACUCAAUUUGAUGAAGUGGUUGUUGACUUGGAUUAAUUCGGAUUAAGGGUUGCGAAAAUCAUUUCCUUACGUAAGGGGUUGAAUAAUCGACAUGGGCUGAAGAAUCGACAAGGAGUCAGUAACAUAAAUUCAUGAGAGAAAAUGAACAUAGAAUUCUCAAGUUCACAUUAAAGAAUCAAAAUGAAUUGAAUUGAAAGAAUGGAAUUUGUAAAUUUACAUGAUGUUCUGUUUCUACAUGAUCUUCUUCAACUACAUUGUACAGUUUUGCAACCAGUCCAAAUUUUGGCGACGACUUAACUCGAGAAGAAACGAUGGGAGGAACACAAUCUGUGGGAAUGCCAGCGAUUGCGAUUCAGCGAAGGCAAUUCUAUCUGACAUCCUGUUUCCUAAUCUGAGCUCUUUUUUUUUGGAAAACUACUUCCUCCCUACGUACACCGCUGUGCUCCGCCAAAACUCGAAAAGCAAAAACAACCAGCCUAAGACUGUCUACGUACAAGUUGCUUCUCCUUCCUCUCCUUUCGGUUGGGGCUGUCGACAAACUAAUUUCUCCAAAGCCUCCUUCAUCCACCAAUUUUGACAUGCUUCUCUAGCUUCAGAGACCGUCACCUACAAAAUACGAAAAACAUACAUUUAGAACAUACAGUACUAUGAAUGAGAAAUCUUCAUAGAGUUCAGCCAAUGUAACACAAUUUAGAAGAAGAAACAAUUAAGCAAAGUAUAUUGCAAUUCCACUUACCCAUUCACGUUUUCGGGAACUUUUCUCGGGCCAAAGUUCCAACUGCUGCUGAACAAGCAAAGGGAACAUGUAGCCCUCAUGAACCGUGCCUUGGGUUUUGCUCGUGUAACGCCACGAUCCCAAUCUAGUCUGCAAGUACAUCAUCCAAACAAUCGAUGAGUAAACGGAUUCGAUUUGAUUCGAUUCAAUAAAAUUAAACUAAACUGCUACAGAACAUGAUUGCUCUAUUGGUAAUUUGCAGAUACUCACUUCAAGAUGGCCAGUCACACCAGCUUCCUCAAACGUCUCUCUUUUCGCCGCCUCUUCAAUUGACUCAUCCAUUUCCCAACCUCCCUGUAAUCAAUCACAUUGCGAAUGCACAAACGUUAACGACAAUCAAAAAAACGAAAGCAACAAAACCAAAACAAAUGCUCUCUAGUUUUGUAUUGUAAAAUUGGACAAAAUUGGUACCUUUGGGAACAACAUUCCUUUCCCCUUCUGUGAACUAAUCACAAGAACUUCCAAUUCCUCAUCGGUUUUCCGAUAUCUGUAUGGUAUGCAUCUGCAGGAUUCAAAAAUUAACCCAAGAAAAAUUAGAUUACAAACAUACAAAAUCCCAACAAAAAGGUCAACCAUAUCAACCCAUGACAAUUGACAACAAUAAUUCAUGCAUCUAAUCAUGAAGACCACAACUUUACCAAAAACCCACUUGAGAAUUUCUUAAAUUCAUGCACUUAUUCACAAAGACCACAACUUUCAUUCAUUUAACAAAAACCCAACUGAGAUUUUCAUAAGUUGAGGGGUGGAAGAUUCAAGAAUUUUGAAAAAGGUCCAAAACCAAAAAUGUAAAUUUGAAAAUAACCAGAACAGAGAUAUGAAACAUACCCUACAACUUGGCGGCAACCUUUUUCAUAGCGCUGGAAUUGUCUUCCGGUCCGGGAAACCAAAGAAACCAUGUUCUCAAUUUGCAUGGGGAUGAAAUCUCCGCCAUUUUUCUUGGAGAAAACGGGAGAAUUCGAAGAAUUGCAAAUCAAAUUCACAAUAUUUUUUGAGAGAAUGAGACCCAUCGAUUACUUCUCCAACUUUCGCUACGCGUAUAGAUUGAAAGGAAAAAAAUAAGAGAAAAUUGGAAUAUUUCUUCAAAAGAAAUAGAACCCACCAAUUUUAGAAGGUUAAAUUUGGAAACUGAAAAUUCUGAAAAUUGAUUGGCUUUAAUUGUGUGAGCAGAGAGGAGGAGGAGGAGAAGAAGAAGAAGAAGGGGGUUUGAGAGUUUCAGUUCAAAAGCGCUUUUGUUAUGGAAAUUGGAGAAUCUGAGUGAGUGAUGAAUAUCUGAGGAUAACAAACUGCUUCUGCGUUUUGCUUCUGCUUUUGUUUGUUGGAGAUUUUCAAUUAUAUAAAGGGCUUCUGGAACUACAGGCCACUGCUUGUUUGUCUUGAAAGGACAACGGACGCGCAUGUGGUGGUGGCAGUUGAUAAAACAGUACCUUUUUUUGGUAUGUGAAAUUUAGAGAUGGAAUCCUAUGUUGCUAUAUUUAUUUUAACUUGGUGAGCUUCUUUGUCUUUUUUGGUAAAUCUAUUUGUUUAUUCUGUUUUCGGUUUUUUGAAUUUGUUUGGUUAAUUGAAGAAGUAUUGGAAAAAAAACAAAUAACCAUACAACUAAUAACAAAAAAACAAAAACAAAAACAAAAAAAAUACUUUACUAGAAAUGCCCUUAAUUUAAUUUACUAAACCUAAUUUCUUGUUUCUAUUAAUCUGAAAAACUACCAUGCAAUAUUUCGUUAAUUCUUAAUAAAAUGAUAAAUUCGUAAGGUUGCGAUUAACUUGUUAUUUUUCAUUGUUGACAAAAAAAAAAUCUUAUUUUUCACUUGUUUAACAUAUGUAAUUUUAAAUAAUUUGAUCGAGUUGUAUUUACACAUCGUCUAGUUUUGCAUGCUAAUUCUUUGCCAACUUAAGCUUUUUGUGCCUAAUCAUGGUUAUAUAAAACCAUGCUAGAGUUAUAGCUCUAGACCUGUUCCAUUGUAUUGUUUAUUUGUUUGUCUAUUUCUUUGCAAGCAGGACGGGACAGGACGGGGCGGAGUAGAGAGGGAGCAAAGAUGCCCUCAGAUGGAAACAAGAAGGAAGAAGAAGAAGACGAAUAUGUUAUAAUUUUGUGUUCCACGGAUGUGGAAUGAGUCGUUUCAAGGAGGUGGGACGGAAUGAAAAUUCAUCCAAAAUUCGUCAUGUGGAAGAGCACGUUCCACCCGUUUUAGGCGCAUAAAACGUGGGACAGAAUGCUUCAUCUCACUCCGUUCUGUCUCAUCCCACGUACCAAACGAUACCUCAUUUCCUUGUCUUUUUUUAUUUUUUAUCAAGCUCAUUUCCUUGUCUUUGUAGAUCCCCAGAUUGUAUACUUUUCACCAACUGUUGGCACAACUUGAUUGAUACCCCGGAAAAGAAAAUGACCAAUAAGUCAACAAUAUGGGCGGUUCAGAUCAUUGUCUAGUUGGUGAUCAAAUGAGGACGCUCGUACAGUAUCAAUCAAAGCUUGAUAUUGAAUUCAGCGAUUGUCAACGCGCCAAAACGAGAGUAGGAAGAUUUUUCAACUUAUGGAUUUUUAGAAAUUUAAAAACUGCAUGAUUGCAAGAUUAGAACAAAGAAAGUGGGCGUGCGAAGGAGAAAGAAAGGAGGCUUUGGCUUAUCUACGAACGUGUACGUGACGCGUUUUAGAGUUCAGUCGCAGCUGGUUUUCAAUAAAAUUAUAAAAAUGUGGGGUGACUAUGACAAACGACCUUACACGGUUUCAAAGUGCUUUUACUUAUGACCGAAGCAAUACAGUGCAGACUCCACUUCAGCAGUGAUAUUUUUGCCUUAAUUGUUUAGGAAAGUCAUUGUCGUUGCCUUUCACUAGGGUUAGGAUUAGGGUUUUAGGAAAGUUACUGCUGCUUGCCUUUCACUAUUGUGUAUCUCUUGUAUCGAGCUGGUACUGGUAUUAAGGUCAUCUCCAAUCGAAGGAAGAUUAGAUGACUCAUUUUAAUUCUAUAGUCUUUAAAGAAUUAAUAUUUUAAUGAACACCAUCUUCAACCGAGGGGCUAUGGCCAAAUAUAGCCAUGUGACAAAAACUCAUCUCCAACUGAGGAAGCAAAAUGAUCAUAGGCCAAACAUAAUUUAUUAUUUUAAUUGAAUUAAUAUGGUUACUUAAAUUAAACUACCUUAAUAAUUUUUCGAGAUGGAAUCUCAAUAAUUUUACGUCUCGGAUUUCGAGUGCCUUGUGUUUUACGUCUCGGAUUUCGAGUGUCUUGUGUCGAUAUGUAAGUAAUUUUGCAGAUUUCUUGUCGAUAAGGAAUCUCAAUAAUUUUACGUCUUGGAUUUCCAGUGUCACAUGUCAAUAUGUGAGUAACUCUUCAUAUUUCUUGUUGAUAUGUAAUCUCAAUAAUUUUUCGAAUAGGAUUUCUUGUCGAUAUGUAAUCUCAACUUGACUACUACAUCAACGGCCGUCAGUAUAAUAUGGGGUAUUAUUUGGCCGAUGUCAUCUACCCAAAAUGAGUGACACUUGUCCAAGCAAUUCCAAACCAUGUGGAUGACACCAAAAAGUGGUUUACCUUACACCAAGAGGCAUACCAGAAAGAUGUUAAGAGUGUUUUCGGUAUUCUACAAGCACAGUUGAAGAUCAUCAAGGAACUGGCAAGAGGGUGAAGUCGAGAUAAAUUGAACUCCAUCAUGAUGUCGUGCAUCAUAUUACACAACAUGAUUGUGGAGGAUGAACGCUAUGGAUAUAUUGCUGGAGAAUCUGAUAACGACCAAGAUGAUCCAAAUAGGUCAAGAAAGGAUCGUGCAAAAAUAUAUGACGGGUCUAAUUUGCCUUUCGAUCCAAGAAUUGGUAAUAUCUUGUUAAACAAGUACAUGAGGCGCAAUAGGAUGAUACGUUUGCGUGGCACAAACAAAUACCUACAACAAGAUAUUGUUGCACAUCUUUGGGUCAAAAGAAGCAUGGAGUUGAUAUUUAAGUUUUAUGUUGUUAAAUGUUUUUUGUAAUGUUGUUUAAGUUUAAUAUUAUUUAAUGUUGUUUAAUGUUACUUAAUGUUAUUUAAUGUCGUUUAAUGACGUCAGCUAGCAGGUAGCAGUUGGGCUUGAAUUAUGGAUCGGUGCGGGGUUGGCUAGUUCAGGCCAGCCGAUUGCCCCGAUUAUGCAAUUGUGGUCCGAUGGGGCCCAAGAGCCAUUUGGCAUAGCCUUCAGUUGGAGACGGUUUUCGUGUCAUUUCGAACUAUUUUCGACCCCCUGGCUCUCUGGUCGGAUCGGUUGGAGAUGGCCUAACAAUUUGUCAUUGGUGGUUGAAGCUUGAAGGGAAGGAAAGUGACCUUCAGUUUUGUUAAUACCAUGAUUAAUAUUUAAUUUUAGGUUAGGAUGUCUUAAGUUCAAUAUAGUACAAAGCGGAUAAUUUAUUUAUAUUCUGCCGAACAUGAGGGAAAGUUGUUGAAAUAUGAAGGUUUUGUGUUGUAUGAUGCGUGUGCGUCUCAUUGUAUGCAUAUAAGGUUUUAUAUAAAUAGCAUUUAUUCCCCAAUUAUUAUUUUUAAGUUGGAUGUUACAAUUUAUUAUUAAAAUUGCUAAACAAAUAUUAACGUUUUUGCAUCGCCAGAAACCUCAUGUUGAAUUCCAUAUGCAAACAGUACAAUUAUCAGAUCGAGCAUGCUAAGAAUAUUUUUAUCGGAGAGUUCUGCAUGCAACGUGAUCGAUUUGGUCUUGAACCCUCGACAUAAAUUAGUAGUAAAUUAGUCGGUAUGAACAUUUUCAAGCACGUUGAAAAGGUGGAUACAUAAAAAAAAAAUUGUCCUGCAAUUUCAGUAAUGGUUUGAACUUUGAACACACGCACAACCGUUUACUAUUUUGUAUCAUUUUGUUGAUUUAAUCUUUAAAGUUCAAAGUCAACCUAUAGCUAUGCAAGUGAUUAAUAUGUGAAUAUGUUUCACACCAAGUUUAUUUAUUAACUUGGUCAUUUGGCUUUUGUUGUAUAUUAAAAAAUCAACCCAAAAAGUUCUCUUAGUUAAUUUUGAUUGUCUAAGAGCUCAUUUAUAAACGAUUUUAAAAUGAUUGAAAACGUUUUUAGAUAAAAUGUUCUUGGAUUCCAAAAUCACUUUUCUUGCAGGAAGACCUUCAAGUGUUUUUUUUCAGAAUUUACUUACAAUUUUUUACAAAGAAUUGGUUCAAAAAAAUAUUUUCACCAAAAAUAAUUUCAACUAUUAUAAAAAUACUUCCAAAUAAAACCUACUGAAUAUCUUCUUUUUCCAUUUGGUGUCGAGUCACUCCCUCAAAUUUUUAUAGUUUUUUUUUAUAAAUCUUCUGGUAGAUCAUGCUUCUAUGGGAGUAACAUAUAAGCUCAUAAUUUCUUCAUAGAUAACCAGCUUUGGAGGUUUAUAAAUGUAUACCAACUACGAAAUAAACUUGUGAUAGGAUGCACCGACAACGUCAUUUGUAAGUGUUCACUGAGUAGAUUAUAGUCUACUUAUAUCAUAAGUGAGAUAGCCAGUAGGUAGAAGUAGUUAGUAAGAAUAUAUCAUAAACUAGCUAGUAAACCAAUCCUACUGGAUAUCUUCUCACCAACAAGACUAUUUAAUAUACUGAUACUUAUUUAUCCACCAUCUCGUUUCUGGAGGAGGAUUAUCUACCCUCCUAAUCUCUUUACCCUUUCAUACUCUCCUAUUUGAACAGUCACGGUUAAACCAUGUCAACAUCUUAUAUUGAUUUUUUUUAUAGAGAUAAUAAAACAAAAAAUAAUACGUGAGAGGAGGGAAUGGAAGGGGAUGAUAAUAGGAGAGUAGAGAAUCCUCCUCCCUCGCUUGUAUAUGCAAUACUUGAGGAGCUAGCUAGAGGGACCGCACAACAUGCAAUGGUCCACUGGUUAGUGAUGCCAUUUGUGUGCACUACCCUAUCUCUAUCCGCUUUAUUGAUUAAAUUCCUAAAUUUUGCAUUAGUCAUCAAGUAAUCAAAUGAUUAGAAUACAAAGGGUGAGAUGAUUUAAUUAGAUGACUACUUUGAACGUGGCCUAGGGUAGAGAGCGGGAUCGAUAUAUCAAGCCAGGAAAACCCUACUUUUCUCUAGAAAGAAAGCAAGAACGAAAGAUAUCAUAGCUAGGCAAGCAAACAUGCAUCUUAUGAGAAACAUUAAUUGUAAGAUGAAGAUUGAUAGAAAUUUCUGUGGUUCAUGAGUCGAUGAGGAGGUUGUGAUUUCAAAUCACCGGCGAUGUUGAUGUCAAAAUUAUACCAACAUAAAGAAUAGAAUAAUACGAGAAUUACAGCACAAAGUUGUGAUAUUUUACUUGCAUGGGUUGACGAGGAAGAAGACGACUCAAAAGAUAGUCACGCAGCAAGUUGUGGAAAAAGAUAGGGAUGCAGCUUUUUUAAAAGAGAGAUUUAAAGGGAGGGUGUGUCCAAAUUUCUAUCGUGUCUUGGUGCGUCUUGUCGUGUAGAAUCAGUAGCUUUUCUCCAACAUGUUGUCCUACGUAAGGACCACAACCCACAAGGGAUAGGCCCUUGGAUUUUUCUUUUCCGUCCUUGCACCAUUCGCAUGUCUGUGUUCACCACCAAAAGUUACUUUUUCUUAAUACGAUUAUCUCAUGUCAAGAGGGAGACUUUAGAUUAUAAGGCCAUCUCCAACCGAUGGCUGGCCAGAUGACUCGUUUUAGCCCUCUGGCCCUCCAAGAUUCUCCAAGAUAUUAAUAUUUUAAUGAACAGUACAGGGCCAUAUUUGCCUCCGUCUCCAACCGAGGGCCAGAGGGCUCGUUUUAGCCCUGUCACAAAAAACCGUCUCCAACCGAGGGCCAAAGGGCCAUAGGGCCAAACAUAAUUUAUUAUUUAAAAACUACAAUUUAAUGUUGUAUAAAUGGCCUAGGAAGUUAUACGAAAAAAUAGAAUUGAAAAAAUAUGAAACAAUUUUGUGAAAUAGAAGUUAUAGGAAAAAAAAUAUGAACAAAAUUUGAUUCAUAUGAAAAGGAAAAAAAAAAGGACAAAAAAGAAGUUUAAAUUCAUUAAAAAGGGAAAAAAAAAAGUUUAAAUUCAUUAAAAAAAAAAGUUUAAAUUCAUUAAAAAAAAAAAAAAAGAGGCCUAAUAAUCCAACGGCUACUAGCCGUUAUAUUCAAAAGCAUUUCAAACUGUUAGUGUCGGUUAUAACCGACACUAAUAGUAGAACUAUUAAAAAAAAGAAUACCUUUAAUGAUGUCGGUUAUAACCGACAGCAAUAGGAAAUCAUUAAAAAAAAAAAUAGCCAGCCCGGGGCUGGCUGGCUGGCCGAAAGCAGCCAGCCCUCCAGCCCUCCAGCCCUCUCCGAUCCCGUGAGGCCCUCCCAGAUUCCAGAGCCCUCUGGCCUAGCCCUCGGUUGGAGACGGUUUUAGGGCUAUUUUCGGCCCUCUGGCCCUCUGGACCCUUCGGUUGGAGAUGGCCUAAUGUCGUUAUCUAAUCAUAUUGUUUUUCGUAUCAUAUGUGAUUGACUUUGAAAUUACCACGCCCUUCGAAUCAACCUUCUCCCCCAAUUGGCUCUUAGAUUCGCACCAAAUGCCACCAAACGUCUAGCAUUCCCACAUACUUGGAGUCAAUGAGUUUUUUUUUUUAUUAGAGAAAAAAGAACACUGCCUUCGAGUUAUAUGAAAUAUAUGAAAUAUUAAAUAUUAAAUAAUAGGAUGACACUUGAAAUUCGAUAUGAUAAAUUUUUUUACCCUUAAACUAUGUAUCAAAAGAGUGACCACUUUCAUUAUGCGCAUAGCAACUCCACAUAUCAUCAAGCUCUAGCUAACCUCAUAAUCGAUGAAAACUCUCAUUUCCUCAACUUACUUUUAAACACGUGUCAACAACACAAUAAUGUUCUUAAAUCCCACAUUGACCCAAUGCAAUAACUUAUCUCAACUACACUUCUAUAAAAGGAGGUUACUAUUUCAUUCCUUGUGUAAUGGUCAUUUAUUACCUCAAACAUUGUACACAUGGAACCUUAAAACACUUAUUACUAACUUUCCUUGCCACUUAUUACUAUGGUCCAAUAGUUCUCUUCAGUUGUAAAUGAGAGGUCUUAAGUUCGAUUCUUACCAAAGGCGAAUUUGAACCACAUUAUUCCUAGCUCAUUGUGAAGUUAACCCACCCCCUUCCUCAUAAUGUAGAUUAUAUCGUUUUUCAUCAAAAAAAAAAAGAAAAAAAGAAAAAGAAAAACACUUUCCUUGAAGAGGUCCUUUUCCCUAUUCUAAAUUGGCAAAUGAUUGAUACGAGUUAAGCCCACUGGCCCAGAGUAUAACUUUGUAACUAUUCUUCAUGGGUUGUUUUUCUCAUACGUAUAUUAGCCCAAUGGAUUAAAAUGUUUAAUUAGCAAGAAGACAAGCCCUACCUAGUGUGCGAUCACUCCAACCCACCAACUAAGAACUAUGAAUCACUCAAUGCGCAGUUAACUGAUCUCAUGUCCAACCCAUCUCUCUUUUUGUUUGUUAAAAAUUCUUAAUUAAAUAAUGUUACAUGCAAAUGUGGGGAGUUCUCUUCAUUUACUACUAAGAAAUUGUACACACCCCUAUGGGUGUGCUUGAGAGGUUAGAAUAAAUGGAGUUUUUUUAUAUUUUUUAUAUUUUAUUAUUUUUUUAAGAAGACCUGCUAAGUUUACAUGGAUGUGAGAGUGCCAUAGAAAAAAACGUAAUUCAUGCUUCAUGUAAUUACUAAAUUGGCCAUAAUUUUUAUUUUUGUCACUUUUGGUUAGAAUAGUAAUUUCGUGUAGUUUUGAUUGAUAAAAGAUAUUCUAUUAAUAGUAGCAUAGACAAUAGAGAAAUACUAAGGAGACUCUCUCAAUAGUGGGACUAUUUGUCACCUUAUACUUUUUGCACAAUAUUUUAAUGUUGACAUGCAAAAUUGACGUUAAAACUGUGAGGUGUCUGAGAGUCCAACUGAGAGAGUCUCCUUAACAUUUAUCUAGAUAAUAUAGGUUUUGGAAUCAUUUCGAUUCCGACUUUUUCCUAUAUUUACCAAUACAUAUGAAAUCAUAAAAAGUGUGGGUUUCCCUUUAAAAUUUGUAAUCAUAUACAUGAAAAUCAACAAUCGCAUUAACUAGCUACAAUGAAUAGUAGAUCUGAUUUCCUUUUUUAACUUUUUCCAUUUUUCAAUUUCCCAGUUAUCUCAUCCUUGUUAAGUAAACGUGUUAAUUAACAAGAUGAUAGUCAGAGAGACUAAAAUACCUUUAUGAAUUUUUCGGCUUCUAAAAAGAUGGAUUUUCGUAGCUUUGUCACCAUGAAGUCCAUUUUUUCAAAACAAAAAGUAAACGUGGUAAUCAAAUUCUUCAUAAAACCUAUUCAUUCCUCAUCAUCACGAAAGUUUAAAUUCAUUCCUGUUCAAUUUUAUUCCCUUUCAAUUUCAUUUCCCAUUUACAAAUUAGAAAAACAUUUUGAGUGGGUGGUUUUUGAAUAUAUUCAACAAUAAUAUACGGAAGUUGGCCAAUAGGCAUAUAGGGUCAAUUCGUAUUUAAGGAUUCAAAACGACACGCAGGAAAUUAUGUGAGCUUCAGUCAUUGUCUGUUUGAGGAUGACCUAACACGUUUUCAAAAUAUUUCUUCACGUCAAGUCUUUCGAUUGAGGCUAAAUUUUGCUCUACCUAUUUUCCAGAAAAUACUUAUUUGCUUACCUCAAUUAUUUUUUAACUACCAAUUCCAAUUUCCUUCGUCGUCCUCAUGGACCUUAUCCAUUAGUAAUCUAGGAUCCAAUGCAAACUGUCGUGCAUUUUCUAACUAGGGUUUAAGUCAUUGAAGGACAAGCUUCUAGAAUUUACCGUGUUAACAAAAAUUCGUCGUUUUUUAUUUUGACAAAUUUGUACUUACAAAAUAAUUAACACAUUUGAUUAAAUAUCAAAGUCACGCGUCCAAGGAGUGGGGGAUUUGACUGAUGGAUCUCCAAUGCUUAAGUCAGUUUCUUUUAAAAGGGAGAGAAUUAAGGGCUUAAUUGCGUAGUAAAAAUUUACCGAAAAUCAGUGGAGAAUAGAUUUAUAGAGCAUAGGACCAAUCAUAAGUAUAGAGUAUGCCAUAACGUGUGUCGACAUCCACUAUAUAUGUUGGUGUGUCGUUCAUUGGAUGGAGUAUGAACAUUUUGUUUCUCAAUGGCAUUACCUUUACUAAAAAGAACGCCAUUCAUUGAUUAAAUAAUUCUAAGUUUAGAGUGAGGAUCCUCACUGGAUCCUCUUUGUAAGGAUUUUGAGAAUCCUCAAAUUACAUCCGUUCAUUGUAUAUAGUGCAGUCAGAAAUCAUUGUAAUUUUUUUAUUUAAAAUUGAAUAUAAAUAAUACUUAAUGAAAAUUGGCCGCACGAUACACGAUAAACGGAUGUGAUUGGAGAAUUCUCGAAAUCCUCACAAAGAGAAUCCGACAAAGAUCCUCUCUCCCAAGUUUAAUCUAUAGCCUAACGGUAGUUAAUUUUAAUUCGUUUACAAAGAGAAUCCGGCAAAGAUCCUCUCUCCCAAGUUUAAUCUAUAGCCUAACGGUAGUUAAUUUUAAUUCGUUUACAGCAUUCAAAUGAUAGAAAUUUUUGCUUUCGAAAAAAGAAAAGGACCUAGAAAUUGAAGAAAAAGAAACCAUGAUGAGAAUGAAAUGUGAUUAUUUCACAUGUCACCUAAUUAUGUUUAGUUGGAAAUGAAAGAAAGAGGAUCCUCUUUGUGAGGAUCGCAGAGAUCCUCAAAUCGUGUAUAUUCAUCGUACAUUGUGCGGCUAAAAAUCAUUUUAAAUAUUUUAUUUAAAAUUAAAUAUGAAUAAUAUUAAACGAAAACUAAUCGUAUGAUGUAUGAUGAAAAUAUAUGAUUUGAAGAUCUUCGGGAUUCUCUUUCGAAAUUAACUAACAUGAUGGGACAAGUGAAAAGUUUGACACUAGGAAUUCAACAUCCUAUUAAUGCUUAGGCCUCACUCAAUAUUAAAAGUUUAAAAAAAUAUAUCAAAAUAGUUUUCAAAAAAGUGAAGUAGUUGAUGGCUUUGUUAUGGAAAUCUAUCUUUUUUUAUACCAGACAGACUUAUAGGGAUAUUUUAGUCUCACCCUUACCAUCAUCGUGUAACUCACCAAAACUAGAAAUCAAACUCAAAACAUGUCCAACUACUAGACUAUCCCAUGAUGAUUAAAGGUCAUAAUAUUUAAGCGUAAGAAUAAUGCAUGAUAUCUAAGAAGGUAUAUUUGUACAAGUUGUACAAGUUCACAAAUCUAGUGCUUAAAUUUCACUCAGAAUUAUUCAAUUAGUAUUAAGAAUGUGAUACUUAAAACCCACUCCAAAUUAAAAAUAAAAAGAUUAGGCUAAAUUGGAUUAAUAGUCCCAUGAUAAUAGGGUAAUCGGAAGAUAACCUCGUAGUGAAAACAUUCGGAUUCAAACUCUCGUAAUGAAGUCGGUUAGAAUCCAAGCCCCAAAUUAACAUUCCCGUCAACUUUUCGAUAACCAAAAUUAACAAUCCCAUCAUUUCCCAAAUUUUUCCUACGUUCCCAUUACAAAACUCCUAACAAAUUACAGAUAUGAUAUAAUCCCAUUAUAAAACUCGGUAUGAUAUUAAACCGUUUACAUUCUCAACAACCAAUCGAUUCAUGCGUACAAGCAGCAGCAAGGAAGAUCUCACUUUCGGCCCUGUAUCAAUGAAACAGCAACCAAUCAGGCCAUUGGAUUUGACAUCUGUGAAAUAUAUUUUCCGGAGUUACGAGAAGUAGUCGGAUUGCCUCAUGAAAGUCUGGUGGUAAAGAGAUUUCAAACGAAAUAUAUAUGCGUGUGCCAACAAGUAGGUCCUUAAAGUCGAGUUCAACACAAAACAAAUUUUGUGUUAACAGAUAGUUGAUGGAAAUGUUAAUUUCGGACUUAAAUCCUAACGAACUUCACUACAAUGAUUUAAGUCCAAAAUUUUUCAUUACGAAGACUGUCUUCCGAUUAUCCUAUUACCACAGAAUCAUUAAUCAAACUUAGCCUAAAGAUUACGACAACCAGGCAUCGUGCAGGACGUGCCAAGUCGAUACGAAAUGAUAAAGAUUAUGGGCCUAUCUAUACAUCUAGAGGACAAUGAUGGGCCUAGCGUUGUGAAGAUUUUGAACGACGUGGCAAAAUGCGUCUUCAAGCUGACGUCUACCGGUUGGCUCGACCAACAAACUUAACCGCCCAAACCCACCACGUCAAACGGCACGUAGGCCUUCCUUAUCUUCUGUACCCGCUUAAACUUGGUGAUUUGCUGAAUCACCCCCGUACCAACACGAAAUUUGACUUGUGCCCUCAUAUAAACGGAGAUGGCCGGUGUUAAGAGUUGAAUUGUUGAACCGUGGGUUUUGAACGUUGACUUUGUAAAUCAAAAAAGAACGUUGACUUGACUUCAUGGGAUAAUUGGAUUUUACCAAAAAGAAUUGGCUUCGACUAAAACCGUUUCCAAGUCGGGAUAUAACACAAACACUUAAAGAAAAUAUCAUCAUGCUUAUCUAUCAAAUGAAACAUUUGACUCAUUAAAUAAUAUCGCAACAUUUCGGUAGAUCAUCAGGUUAUCUGAUUAGUGUAAUGUAAUAUUUGAGGAGUUUCGUGACCUAAGUCAAUCUCACGUUUUCAAGCCAUAGUUUAUAGGAGAUUAAAUUUUUACUAACUAACUUUGUGAAAUAAAUAUUUUUUAAGUGACGAUUGAGAUUGAGAUGAACUUACAAAAAUAAACAUUUUUAAAUGGGGAUUGUGAUAUUCUUAAAAAUCAUGGGGAAUGGAUGGUAACUUUGACAAGCCAAGGACCACUCAAAUUAUAGAAUCUAAUGCCCUAGAAGGUUUGGUAGUCGUUUGGUAAACCUCUUUGCCAACAUGGAAUUAUAACAUAAAAAUUCUGACCUUGUGGAAUUCAUUGACAUUCAAAACGAAUCAACAGAAAUUUUGAGCACAGAAGAUUUGAACUUCCAAAAACCUACUAAAAAAAAUCCCAAAAGCUAAAUAUCUGAUACGCAUUGAAGUUGCACCGCAAAACAAAAUCUUGGUGGGGUUAAUGCAGAUAUCAUGGGGAAAUCCAUAUCAUAAAUUGAUAUGCCUACCCAUUUGGAGAACCAUCAAAUUUUAGAUAAACUAAUUAUCCCGUCAAUAUGAGGAUUUAGUACCAAGAUUAGCAACGAAAUUCAUAAAAUUAAGAUUGGGUUGAAAUAAAUAUACAUAGAGAGAUAUUAUCAGCUAAAAGUACUUCAUCAUGCAGUUUUGAACAUGCACUUUGUGAGACCGUCAGAUCAAUCUAGUUAAACUUGAUCCAAGUCAAAACAGAAAUAUUUACAUACAAUUGGAAUGUAAUUGUGUGAGCGGAGGACUUCCAAAUAAAUUAGAUAUUGUCAUGCGUUUUAAUAUUGUAACUGUGUAAGCGGAGGAUUUCCAAGUAAAUCAUAUAUUGUUAUACGUUUUAAUAUUAUUAUAUGAUAACGUAUAAUUGACUUAUGAUACUAGUGGGUUGAUAUUCCAAAUCAAUUAAACAUUUUCAUGCAUUUUAAGUGAUUUAAAGACAGUUCGUGAUUUAAUUUGACAUACCGCAAUCAAGUGUUUGUAUGAUGUGUGCAUGGCGUGAUGAAACACACAGGGUCAAAACCUAGGCGUCAACAAGGUCCAAAAGAGUCGACUCAAACUAAUCCAACAGUUGGUUUUUUUUUUUUCCACCAAACUUCCCUUUCCGUCCUCCCUUCCAUCCUACGUCUCAUGCCUUCCAAUUUACUAUAUAUACCCGCAUACUCAUCUGCCCUUUAGAAUUACAUACACACAAACAUAUAGAUAUACACCAAAUAAAACAGGAAGAGGAAGAAGAUGGAGAACAGGAACAGCAACAACAGCAGAAAGAUGGAGGAGGGAUUUGAGGAAGUGGGUUUUCCAGUUCACAGCCAAGUGAGGAAGAUCAAGCAAGAAUCCGACAAAACGAUCGACUGGUUGCCUGGAAAGCCGGAGAUGAGAAGACCUGUCUUCAAAGAGAUCACCAGGCAGAUCUCUCGAUCUCCUCUCGGAAUUUCUUGCAGGCCAAUCUCUGUUGGCGACUCUUAAGAUUUAGGAGUAGGAGGGCUUUGAUUACUUAUAACUGAUGAGAGGAGAUGAUGGGGCUUUUGGGAUGUUUUUUUGCAUCUUUCUGCUCUUGCUCCCCUGUUUUUGUUUUUUUGUUUUUUUUUUGUUUGAACCUGGUACUUUUAGACGUGUUCUGUGUGUAUAUAUAAUUCGUCUUCUUAGUUUAUGAUAUGGCAGUUUUGCUCCUGGAAAUGAUUUCCAUACUUUUCUUUUCUUCUCUGUGCUCUUUGUUUGUUUCUGUCUCUUAAUUUUUUUGAUUUGAUUCAAUCCAAAAAUUAUGUCGAAGAAGAAAAUGGUGUCCGAAAAUCAAACUUUUUCGGCUCCUUUGGAAUUUGGCUGUCUGGUUUUGAUUGAUUUCAUAUAAAUCCAUCCGUCAUCCAUAAUACGUUGGUUCUGGUCUUGCCGUCAGAUAUCGUUUUAUCAAAUAUGAACCAAAAAGCCGGUUAAUCAUGAUAUGUUUCAACUUUUUUUCUUCCUUUGUUUACAAGUCAUAGAACCCUGAAGAACUUGAGUGUAAUGGAACGCAACUUAUCAAAUCAAUCACGAAACGCUAUAUGUAUCCCGAAUAAGAGUGUAACAAAAUGCAACUUAACAAGUUAAUCACGAAAAGUUACAUGCGAAACUUAAAAUAAAUGAUUGUGUGCCACUACAAGAGGUAUUGUGAUGAUACACGUUAGCAAGAGUAAAUUGUAGUUAUGAUCCCUUAACUUUAACUCAAUUGGAGCAAUGGUCCCUCAACUAAAAAUCCAUUAUCAUUGGUCCCUCAACUCAUCAAAACGUGCAACUAUGGUCCAUCAACUAAAAAUUCAUUACCAUUGGUCCCUCAACUUUAAUUUAACUAGAGAAAUGAUUUCUUAACUUUAACCCAAUUGUAGCAAUGGUCCUUCCAACAUAACUCAUUUGGACAAAAUUUUUGAUGUAGUUAACGAAAAGGACCAUAAUUACACACUUUGAUAAGUUGAGGGACCCUAAUUAUAUAAAUGGUUAUUCCAACAUAACUUAUUUUGACAAAAUUUUGACGAAAUUGAUUAAAAGGACUAUAGCUACAUAUUUUGAUAAAUUGAGAAACCAAUGGUAAUGAAUUUUUAGUUAAGGGACCAUUGCUCCAAUUUGAUUAAAGUUGAGGGACCAUUGCUACAAUUUACUCCGUUAGCAAUACAAAGUUCUCUAUUGGUUUUACGUAUGAAUUAGUUCUUUGUAUGAAGAGUCACGGUUGGUGUGUGUUUGUUGUAUUCCUGACCAACCAAAGUUGGUGGUUUAAAAGGUUAUAUGAGUUAUCUGGAAAGUGUCGAAGGACUAAUCUUUUGGCAAAUCUCGAUUGUUUGUAUGUGUUAUUUUAUAUAUAUAUAUAUAUAUAUAUCAUUAUAUUUUACUUCGUUUUUAGUUGAAAAGGCAAGUUGUUGAUAUUUCUAUGUUUUUAUUGUUUUGGAUUGAAUGAUCAAGGCUAAACAAGUCGCGUUCAGGGCCAGGACCAUUUCUUCCUAUAAAGUAUAAACCCCUUCAUUCACAUUGACUUAAUAAAUUAUAAAAAAUGGAAUUCAAUUAUGCAAGAGUUUCUCAUGAAUAUGCAAAUUCACAUUGACAAUUUCCAAUUCACAUUGAAAAGGAAUGCACCAUGAGAAAGAUCGAAACAAAGCAGUGGUGGACUACUAGUCCUUGUCAUUAGUGAUGCAAUAUUCAGUUACAAUGGUAAUCCCUAAAAAAAUAGCGUAGAAAAAAGUUAAAAAAAGGGCUAGUGUAGUUUGUGUAUUCGUAUUAUUACUUCGUAUUUGACUAUAACUGGAUGGUUUAGAAACUCUUAUGAAUAAACGGACCAUCAUUGUAUUUAGAUACUAUUGGACUUCACAUAAAUACUACUUCUAAUGCACACGGCCUGCUCUUUGUAAAAAUAGCUUAAUUAGCUGGGUAGUAUUACGUGGCAUGGUUAUCUCUUACAUCAAACAAAAUCAACACAGAAUCAAGUGAGACCAAAAUAUUUGAGUCUCAUAUUCUUUUGAGAGCUCCCUUGUGAGGAUGACAUGUAUGGUCAGUAAUUCAGUGUUCCUCCAUACGUUUUUUUCAUUGAGAUCAAGCUAUUUCAUGACUCAUCUAUGCAUUCAAUACACUUUUAGAGCUAGUAAUGAAGUUUAGUCCUGUACUCGAAGUCUUGUAUUGAUUCAUCCCUAACCAAUAUGGUUCGUAUUAAAAAACUGCAUAAUUUACUAAUUUAGGGUAGGAUCUCGUUUGGUAUAUAGGAUUUGAUUGGAAUAACUUUUUAAUUUAAAGUAAAUUAUGUCUAACUAAAAGAUGGAAGAUGAAUAACUCGUGAAAGAACUUAUUUGUUUCAAUCCUUUUUUACAAUAGAAUUAAAAGAGAUAGAUUUUUUCAUGUUUAAUCCUCUUCCAAUCGAAAUGAAAAUCAUUCACUUCUGCUGCUUUAAAAAUGUAGAGUUAGUUAUUAUUAAUCCAAUCUAACAUAACACAGUAACUCUAGGAUAUUCUCUCUUCCCCAGGCUAUCUGAUAGCAGAUGACAGAUGGUCGGACCACAUAUUGCAGUGUGUAUAACGUGUAUAUAUUCAUUAUUUUUGGGAACAAACAAAUUUGCUAUUGCCAAUCUCAAUAGAACCAACCAAAUCCCCUUUCUCCUCCUCGUCAUCGCACGAGAGCUGCUGCAGAAGUAACAGUGCUGCAUGUGCAUGAUGCACCCACAUCAAUAUGUAUGUGCGCACAGCGCACCACCCCUGAAUAGCUGCAAGCCUGCAAGACUUUCUCUGUGCUAGUUUUCGUCUUACCUGCAAUUUCGGCUGCUCACAUGUAUGCAUAAGAUAUCACGAUAUAAUAUAUGUAAUAUUUUGAAAUUACAAUUUUAUUUUUUGGAUUUGAAAAACAACAUAUAUAGUUUGAUUAAAAAAAUUAAAGAAGACGAGUUACUAUUUAUCCCUUAACAUGUCAUUCACGAUUAAUUUUGCAUUCAUCUUUUUGUAAUUAAAGUUUAUUGAUGCAAAUUAGCUUGUCAGUCAAACUAGUUAUACCAGUGUGCAUCCAUUUUAUACUUCAGUUUGAGUUCUUAUAGGUUAUAUAGGCUAAAUUACUAAAGCCUAUUACUUAUACAGUAACCUUUCAAAGUAAGGAUAAGGGGAGAAUGUCUAUAACCUUUCAAAGUAGGGAUAAAAAUGCGUACGAUAGAUGUUCCCAAUUUUUCAUCAUUCAUAGGAACAGCAAGAAAAAAGAGAGAAACCAUCAACACAGGGACGGAAAGUCUUUUAUCUAAUUACCAAUACAUGGUUAAAUAUCCAUAAUUUUAGCGUCAAAUUUUAUUGUUGUAAUGGUCCAAUGCCACGAUUGAGACAAGAUACAAUUGAUUUAUUCAUUCAUUCCCAUUCAUGCACCAUUCUAUUUCAAUAUUUGGAAAUAAUGGUUGCAGAGUAGGAGUAGCCAAUUAGGGUUUCCAGAGAAUAGUAGUUUCAGCGAUCAUGGAGGUGACAACAUAAGGAUCCAUGUUAGAAGCCGGCCUCCUAUCCUCAAAGUAACCUUUCCCGUCUUUUUCUGUGUCCCUCCCGACUCUCACUGACGCUCCUCGGUUUGCCACUCCCUGUCAGCGAAAAUCACAGUAUUGCACUCUCAAGUAUAUGAAAGUCAUAUGCAAAUGCAAAUUCAAAUGAUUAAAGGGAUACGUACCCAUAAGAACCUAUUGAUGUCAGCUGUUUCGUGCCGCCCAGUGAGGCGGCGUUCAUUGCCAUCGCCAUAAGCAGCAAUGUGUUCCUUGUGCCUCAAGCCAAGCUUUUCAAUCGCCUUUUUUAUCACUUCAUAACCACCAUCGCUUCUCAUCGACUUGGUGCUGAAAAAUUACCAUCAAAUGCACAUGAUUCUCUGAAGUUUCCAAUCAAUGAAAACCACAAGAAGAAAGACAUAACUCAUUUGUUACCUGUAGUUUGUGUGAGCACCAGCCCCAUUCCAAUCGCCCUGCUCACACACACACAUUACGCCUCAAACCAUUCAAAUCCGAAAUUAACCAAAUAAUUAACAAGGGAUAAAUUGGAUUAUCUCCAAUUAUUCUAAUUACCUCAAUAGGUUUGGGAUCAAACGAAAGCACCACUCCAGCUAUCUCUGUAAUCCUCUGUAUUAAUACAUAAACAAGAUCAUUUUCAUCACAAGGACUCGCCGAGGUUCAUUCAAUUUUCCACUAAAUCACAUAUAAUCAGUUUAAAUUACCUCCAAAAUGUGACGAGCAGCCCAUAACUGAUCUCCAGCAGCAAUGCCAACAGUUGGUCCGAUUUGGAAUUCCCACUAUAUUAUUAAGAGAAGAUUACAUUAUAGGUGCAGCAGAAAAAUCCCGAUGCACAGAAGAACAAGAGAGUAAUAUAUUUAGGCUUUGUUCGGUGUCUAGUAUUUACCUGGCCAGGCAUAACUUCAGCAUUGAUGCCACUAAUGUCGAUGCCAGCAUAUAGACAUGCUUUGUAGUGAGAAUCUACAAUGUCACGCCCAAAGGACUUCUCAGCUCCAACACCACAGUAGUAUGGUCCCUAAUUUACAAGAAAUACAAAAGUUAAUUCAUUCUAAAAACAUCACCGCAUAGUAAAGUAAUUACAAAUUAAUUUUUCUUAAACUUUGAGAUAUAUAUUUUUCUUUCGAGGUAUAUGUGUUGUUACCUGUGGUCCAGGAAAUCCACCGAGAGGCCACCCAAUUGGCCAUUUCAGAUCUUUCUGCAACAAUGUAUACUCUUGCUCUAAACCAAACCUGAAAUUUUCCAAUUUAAAUUUAAUCAAACCACUCAAUCAAAAUAAAUAUUUAAUGAAUUCCUAAACAGAACUCCCCCAAGACAUGUAAGAGGUUAAAAAAAAGGUACGCCACAUAUAUAAGUUAGUAUAAAUGGUUAAGGUCAUGUUCCCUUCCAUCGGGACUUCGAAUCCCUUUUUUUAAUAAAUUAGAGUAUUUUAAAAUAUCAUAUUGUAAAAAAAAAAUCGGUACAACUUAUUACCAGGGUUCUUCGGCUACGACAUCAGGAUGGCUGAAAAUUUUAGUGGCGUUAGCCCGCUUGUUGGUCGGAAUUGGUUCUCCACUCGGGGUGUAAGUAUCACAUAUGACCUACAAAUAAUGGAAGAACUGCUAAAUACUAAGAAAUAGUUAGAGGUAAAUACUUAUAAAUUCUCUGUGAAGCACCUAUAUUAUUUAAUUAAAAUGAAUGUGUAUUGAUAACAUGUCAAUAAGUUUUCUUGGCAAUGAUAUAAUACGUUAUUGAUGACAUAUUGUCAGUUUGAUUAAAGAACACACGUCUUGCUUAUAGCCAGAUUAGGUAAGCACACUGCAACAAACAUUAUCACUUCCCUCAAACCGACGGAGACUUACAAGAAUAUUGUUGCCUCUCCUGAACGGGUCCCUGAAAAUUGCUUGUGGACUAUUUUUGAACGCCAAGAAAAAUAAAUCAUUAAUAAAUAAGACUUGAAAAACAAAGAGAAAAAAGGGCAGAGAAAGAGAGCAUACUAAAGGAUAACUUCACUGUCUUUGCCAGGAGCUUGGCCAGUGCUGGAACCAUCGUAGUUCCACUUGGGAAGUUUUGAGGGAUCACUCACUGGUCCAGGAAGAGUCUGCCUCAACUCAUACAAAAAUUAUAAGUACUCCAAAUAGAAUUAAUACGCACACAUUAUAUUUGAAUAAAUAGAAGAAAAAAAAUUACCCUGGCUUUGCUUCUGAUGUCGAUACCAGACCCACCAAUCCUGUUUCAUGAUUCAACAAAAAACAGAAAAAUCAAAUUUAAUCCCGAAAACAGCAGGAAAAUGAGAGAGAGAGAGAGAGAGAGAGAGAGAACGCAUGCUCACCAUAUGUACUCUGCAAUAAUCUUCUCGGUGGAAUCAGAAAGGUUGAGGUUGAUAAGAUCAGUGAGAAGAGACAUUUUGUUACAAACGGGAAGCCAAAGUAAGAAAAGGAAGAAGAUAGGGUUUCAGAGAUUUGAUAUGGCGAUACACUUCUAUCACCACCGGAACAAAUUAUAGCAGGAGAGAGAGAGAGAGAGAGUGAGAGUCCACAGUGUUCAGAAAUACGUGUAGGAAUAUGACUAUUUGAGUUGGGGUUGAGUUGUACUCGCUUGUACUUUAUAGUGCGCUCUGGCUGUUCAGAAAUUCAUUACGUCCAUAAGACGGUAAAUAUACAUCAGAUUUCCGCUCCUUAUUUUUCCUUUCUCACGAAACAACUAUCAUUUAAUUAGCUUCUAACCCUAAUAUGCAUGAAUUUAGCUACAUGUGAAUUCUUAAAAUCUUUUUAUAUAAGUUUUCCCAUCAAUUUUCUUGUACAAAAAUUAUACUAAUACUCUAAUAUUGCAAGUACUGUCAUUUUUUUUUUAUCAAGAAUUUAACCGUCUAAAAUCUUGGUGUAUACCAAAAAACCUCUUAUUUUUAUCAAGAAAAUAUCACCGUGAAGAGAAAAACUUAAAAAAAUAUAUAUAAUAAGAGUUAUUUUCUUUGUUAUUUAAUGAAUAUUCUAUUUAAAUAAAGAAACAUAAUUAAAUUUGGAUAACAGUGGCGUAAAACUAAAAGGUAACAAAAUUAAUUAUGAACGGCAGGUGCGGAUCUCUGUCUAUAAUUCAUUUACCUGGAGUGGACACCACCAAAUACAGUGCAUACAAUUGAAAAUUCUGCACCACUAUUUUGUAUAAGCCAAUAUAAUUAUAUAUUGAUAUCAAAUUAAGCUUAAAGUUAAAUGAUUUUUUUUCCUACUAAUUUCGUAUAUUGUAUUAUUUGGUGAAUCUUAUACGCAAACUGGUGCCAGAAAGUAAAUGAAAGUAUUAUAUCCAUAUAUAAUGUGUGUGAAGUAAAAUACAGUGAAUAAUACUACUCCCUAAAAUGUAUAUUCCGGUGUUUCAUUUCACUUUCUGUAAGACAAAUUAUCAAUUUACUUGCUAAAGAAAGUUGCAAAUGAAUGAACCUCCUCUUAGCCUCCAAUCACUUGUAUUGUAUCAUAUUUUUCUCUUUCUAAUAAGCACGGUUCAUGACGUGGUUUGAAUUCGGAAUAUAUUUCAAGAGAACGAAACUGUUGUAAUACUUUUUAUUUUGCAAAAAUCUUAUGCCAAACAUGAAUAAAGCAUGAAACAUGCAUGUUAGACAACUUUCUUUAUCCUUGCCAAACAAGGACACCCUUAAGGAAAGUUGCAAAUUAAUGCCUUCUCACACCUAUCAUCAUGCGUUUCAUUUUUGCUAGAAUUCUGUACCAACAUGGAACAUGCGUAAAUAAACAACUUCAUUUCCAUUGUUUUACUAAAAACCAAAUCAAGAACCUUAAAAGAGAAGCCAACCCUUGCCACACAACUUUCUUUUCAAUUCAUUUCACACUUCUAAUACUUUCGGUUUGCUAGGAUUCUCUUUACUAAACAUGGGCAUAUAGACAACAGUAUUUUUGCUUUAUUUUACUUGAAACCAAACAAAGACCCUUAUGGGAGAGAUUUUUCAGUGUUACAUAGGGAGGAACGCCGCUUGUUAUUAUACAAUUUAAAGUUUUUGUUUUCAAUUGUCCCUAUAAUUGUAUAAUGACAUAUGAUAGUUUUCCACGUAUUAUGGGCAUACUAAAAUAUCUCUCCUGCAGGGACAGUUUUAUUUGUUGUAGGUAGGGUUUGGUCUUUACCCUAACAAAAUAGAAAACAGUCUUGAUCUUGCCUUUUGUUUAUGUGACUAAAAAUAAAAUAAAAACAAAAAAAAAGUUUUUGUUUUUAUAUUCAUUUACGUUUAUUUUUCUUCGGAAUAGAUAAAUAUAAACUAGAUGAGUAGGAUCCAAUUGUUAGAGUUUUGAGACUCUUGUCCCACAUCGGAGAAAACAAGAUUCCCAAUGACCUUUAUAUAUGUUUUGUCCUCUACAAUAUUAGUUAGGUGUUGGACCAUUUGGAAUGGGGAUUGAUGCUUGGGCCACCAAUUGUGUGGAUUAGGCUUAAUGAUUAUACCAUAAUAUUAAUAUUAAUUAAUCAAGACAAGGGGCACUUGGGGCCUAAUAAUUAAAAUUAAUCUGAUCAAUUAGUUUUAAUUUUCGAAUUAAGUUUUUAAUUAAAAUUAAUUAAAACCAUUUUGAUUAAUAGACACAACUCUUUGGAAAGAGUUGUAUAGCUAUAUCCAAAAAGUAUUUGAAGAGGUAUGAAAGAGCCUAUAUAACUGGAGUCCUCAAUUCCAUUCCAAAUCAUCUUUUCUUCCUCCUUUCUUCCGUAUGAAAUUUUCAAAGAGUAAGCACACAAAGCAAAUUUGCUAGAAUUCUAGAAUCCAGUGCGGGUUGUAGAAUUAGGUAGUUGAAUCCUGGUCGAGCAGACGUUGUUGAACCACAAGCACAAGAGUGGGACGGAAAUACUGUUCGAAGGACAUAGCUAUUACGCUAGCCUCUACCUUCUAUAGUCACGUUAGUACCAUUGAUAUUCUUGUAUUUAUUUCUAUAUUUUAUUCUGCACAACAAGUAUUUUGAUUAAUAAAUAUUCUACAAUUUCGAGUUUUGUUAUUUUUAUUUAUUUCUGAAUUGUUCUCCAACACCAAUAUUACAUGGUAAGCACUUCGAUGUUCUAAUUAAUCAAAAUAUUACGGGAGCGAAACUUAAGUGUUAUGGUAUGUAAAUCGAUCUUAUUAUAUUAUGACGUACCACAUGCUGAAUAAAACAGGCACAAAAAAUAUACAUUCGGUUGCAUUUAAAUUACCCUAUUACAUGAUGUUCUAUUAGGUGAUGGUUUUUCAACCUAGUUAGGUAUUUUACCUUUUGACAUAAAAGGUUGAUGCUAAACUACUUUUACCCAUACGAUCCAAUGUCUACCUCAUAGGAUGCCAAACUAGUUUGCCUGUGAGAUCAAAAGUUUGUUACCUCAUAAGAUAUCCCACUUAUUGAUAUCUGAUGUGGGAUAUGAUGACAUACUCGUCUUUUCCUUAUUUUUGGCGACUUGUUAAUUUGGUGACGGAUGAUGAGUAGGUUCGCAUAUCCUUUUGCAGUACUAGUUGACGAGGAGCCCACUGAAAUCGUGCCUAGUGGAUACUGGCUACAUCAUUGUAUGGAUUAUGAAGUUCCUGGAAAUCUCAAUUAGCCAAGCACAUACGUACCCUUUUAUAUUUAUAUUCUGAUGAUCUGGUUUUGGUAAUAGACAAGUCGGUGGCAAAUAUAUAUACGUGCCAAAUUUAAAGAGCUUGCUGCUGACAACGAUGAGAUAAGCUUGUCUGUUUGCAAUGCAGUUUGAUUCUUUCAAGUAAUUGUGCAAAGAGAAAUGCUUAAGGAAAUUCUCUUACAAUGAGAUUUUUUAUGGAUUAUUUGUCAUUUCACAGUUUAAUGUUAAUUUACGUGCUAAUAUUAUAAAUAUGUGCAAAAAGUAUGAGGUUGAAAUUUUUUUGAAGAAUUCUAUUUUUAAGAAAAUUGCUGCCUUUUUUGAGGGUUCUUCCUCACAUUGACUAAACCCGUAGAGAAGACCAUGACGAGCCAUUUAUGAACUACAGAGUGAUGCCAGAGGCGAUAAAGGUCUUCCAAUGAUAGAAAAGGAGGGGCAUGAUAUCCCAAAAUUCCUCAAUUGUACUUUCUACACUUCCUGAGAAGGAAGUCGUUUUUUUUUUAUAUUGGAUCCGCUCUUGUAAUCGUGCGAAACCCUAGUUCCAUAUAUUCUCUGUCUAAUAAUAAUGAGAAGUGAUAAGCACAUAUUCAUAUAAGUCUUUCACACAUUUUUAUUUAAUUUUAACGGUUGAUUUUAUUUGACUUCCGACAAUAAUAAUAAAAAAGUGCAUGUGAAAAGUUGAAAAAACUAUGUGAAAAUUACAUCCUUUGUAGAUGUUUUACAAAUAAGAACGUAGUCAAACUAUUAGGAAAUAUGAAUUAAUCAGAUAUUUUGAGGCAAAACAUAUAAUAAACUUGGUAGCAACAACAAUACUCUAAUUUCAACCAUAUGCAAGUGCAUCAACAUAAUCUUGAAGACCGUCUCUCAUGGCACUUUGACUCUAAGGGAAGAUUUUCUGUUAAAUUGGCUUACCAUGUGGCUCAGGAAUGGCUCCUAUCCUCUGUGCAACGUCAACAUGGAUCUUCGUCGGGGUUUGCCUCCUUUCCUCUUUGGACUGCUUUGUGGAAUGCCAAUGUUCCCCUAAAGGUCCGAAUGAUGUUCUAGAGAUUGUGCAGGGAUAUUGUUCCUACCAAAUCCAACUUAUUUUCAAAACGAAUCUCGAACGAUAUGUUGUGUACUUUUUGCAAUGCCUUUGGCGAGACCACAUGCCACAUUAUCCGAGAUUGCCAUUUUGCCCGUUGUGCAUGGCUUUCCUCGGUUCUUGGUCCCCUCCAUCGUGGACUUCACUCCCUUUCAUUUCAUGACUGGGCUUCUGAUUUGGUUGCCUCUCUCCCACAUAACAAGUUUGAAUUAUUCAUGGUUAUCUGCUGGGCGAUUUGGAAGUGCAGAAAUGAGAAGCUAUGGGAAGGCAUGUGCGACUGACCGGAAGUGGCGCCCUCUCGUGCAAUAACAUGGUGGCAGGACUUUGUUCGAGUGAAUGCGAAUCAUCCCUCCCUCGGUGCUGCAAGUUCAUCCCCCUCCCGAUGGAUCACCCCUACGUCAGGACGCUUGAAACUCAACUUUGAUGGGGCUUGGAAUCGGGACAGGUUGAUUGGAGGUGUUGGGAUCAUUGUUCGUGAUGAGAAUGGCAACUUUAUGGCUGCUCUCAUUAAGAAUUACCCCAACGUUUGAUCCAUUAUGCAAGCAGAGCCUAUUGCAGCUAGAGAGUGCAUGAUCUGGACGACGAACAUGGGUUUACGUAAUUUAUUAAUUGAAGGUGAUUCUCUACAAUGGAGUGCUGCGUAUUCCCUCGACUAAUUUGUCACCUCUGGGGUAGAUUAUCGAGGACACUAAGGCUUUGCUCCCUUCAAUCACUGAAGAUCUUUGUACCCACAUCCGUCGUUAGGCCAACAGUGUGUCUCUACAAUUGGAAUGGCUAUUUUCUCUACAAUUGUAGCGAGCAAGUCGUUAGGCCAACAGUGUGUCUCUACAUCCCCUUACAAACUUUUCUCUACAAUUAGAUCUUCUUGUAGAGAAAAGUUUGUAAGGGGAUGUAUGUGUUGUUUUGUCCCUAUUUGAUGUCUUGCUGUACGUUCUUCUUUGGAACCUCUGCCAGCUAUCUAAUACACUAUCGAUUUCCAUAAAAAAAACAUAAUCUUGAAAACCUAUUUGGGAUUUUUUUUUCCAGAAGCUAAUUAAGGUUACAGAUAAUCAAUUGUAACUCACAACCCCUUCUCGUGUAGCAAAUAUAGCUAAAUACAUAAAGCACAUGUGGUCGUUGCCAAUGGCGUAGCCAAGAAUUAUUUGAUGGGGCUAAGCUAAAAUUAUUACUACGAAACAAAAAUUUUAAUCUUUUGUUGUCUACAUAAAGUUAUAUAAUAGUAAACCUGAAAGUAAUAAUUUGAAGCAAGAAAUUUAUACUCUAUUUCUAGGCUUCUAGCCUUCAAAACUUUCAAGUGGAUAAAAUAAGGAACCAUUUGUGGUAUGAGAGUUUUAAUUUAGUACUAUUAAAUUAUAAUAUUGGUCAGAUGAGUUUAUUUAACAUUUAUUAGCUCGUAUUUUACUUAAAAGCAGCCUUAAUAUUCAAAAUUUUCAUUUGCUAAGUAGAAUAUUGAUGAGACGAUAUUAUACUAUAUAUUUUACCCUAUUCUUAGUAUUAAUAUAUUGGUUAUUUUGGUAGAAUUUAGAUACUUUAUUAUAUAUUUCCAAUGUAGGACAUUCGACUUCCUUUGGAGCACAAAGUGAUCAAACGGAUGAAUUUUGGAGUGAUUCCAAUUGGAGGAUGUUCGUAAGUCUUUCAAGAUGAUUGUUUCAAAGUUCCAUAUUUUUCUACCAAGCCAUUUGACUGUGGCGAUGAAAUAAAAACCCAGCGCGCAGCUUUCCCAUAUUGACAUUUUUGGACGUUUUGGGCAUUUUGAAGGUCAAGAUGGCAUAUUUUGAGGAAGGUUCAUUCUGAGGAUUUGUAGGGGACGUCUCCAGCUUUCAAAAGAGACAUUUUCGGACCAAAUCGGAGUUGAUUUGGUCAGUCAAAAGUCUGAUUUUCUGAGAACUCCGAAUUGUAGUUUAAGUAGGAAACCUUUUAUUUUCUGUUUUAUCAUUUAAUUAUGCUCACUAGUUUUAUUCUAAGAACCUUUUCAAGGUAGGGUUUUAUUUUCUAGUAGUAUAAAUAAGAUAUUUAGCCAUUAGGGUUAAAAAGGGGAGAAUGCACACACACUUUAGAGUGCUUUUGGAUUCAAAAAAAUUUUUCAAGGUGUUUUCUAGCCUUGUUUUUAAUAAUAUUUCGUUGUAUGAUUGCUAGUAACUAAAUUUCGUUUGCUAGGGCGAGGCCACGAGCCUUAGCAUGAAUAUGUAGUUUUUAUUUAAUUGCUUAUGAUAUUAUACAUGCAUACUUUGAAUUAUUAAUCAUUGUGCUUUAAACUGUCUCUAUAUCUUAAUGCUUAGCUACCAUUAGGAUGUUUAGAUAAGUAAUCGGAUGCAAUUCGGUUGGAAUACCACCGGGGAUUGAGUUUUGCUUCUUGUGAUUGAUAGUUGUAAUUUCACCUAGGAUGAAUACUACGUCCAGUGGCGGAUCCACAGUGGGGUCAAUGGGGUCGCACGACCCCUUGGAAGCCAUGGAAACAACCUUAGAGACCCCUUGGAGCUGCUGGUGCGACCCCUUGGAGCUGCUGGUGCGACCCCUUGGCUGCACACCAAGUGUUCGACGAAAGGUCUGAAAGAACUCCUCGGCUGGGGUGGUUGAAGACGAACUGCGCUGGGAGCAUUGAAGUAUGGACGCCAGCUCCAUGCUCAAGAUGUAUGGUAGAUGCGGAGUUGUUGAGGAUGCAAACACUAUGUUCCUCACGAUGUCUUAUAUUGAUUCAGUGUCUUGGAAUGCUAUGAUUGCAGCUCUCGCACAACAUGGAUGUGGUGUCCAAGCAAUAGGACUUUUUGAGCGAAUGUUAAAGGAAGAUAUGCUACCAGAUAGAGUAACUUUCCUCAUCAUUCUCUCAGCUUGUAGUCAUGCUGGUUUAGUCAAAGAAGGGCGCCAUUAUUCUAGUUCAAUGCGUGAUUCUUAUGGUAUUAGCCCCGAUGAAGAACAUUAUGCUCGCAUGAUUGAUCUGUUGUGUCGGUGCGGGGAGUUCACAGAAGCCAAGGACUUGAUUAAACCCCAGACGCGAACCUCAGAUGCCGUUUCUGUUAAAAAAAAAUUGCGCGCUGUGCGCUGUGCGCUAUCCUUAUUGACCCCCCAAACAUUAUUUCCUGGAACCGCCACUGACCACGUCUUAGGGGUUGCAUGGUUUUUCAAAGGGUUUUCACAAAGCGUUACGAGUCAUGUAUGUUUAUAUUUGAUCUGAAUACCACAGACGGAUUGCAUGUUUGAUAUACUUUUUAGCUUGAAUAUCACGAGUAGAAUAUGUAUUAGGAAAACCUAACCUUGAAAGUUGCAUGAGUAAUUCAUAAAUAAUUGGUAAAUCUACAUAGGAUUGUUAAGGGGACGGCGGAACCCUAGGCUUUUACAAUUUGGUUUUCAAAACUAUUUUCUUUUGUUUUCUUUAUUUUGUCAAUUUAUUUAAUUGUUUUAAUUUAAAAUUCGUUUUUAAUAUUUUAAGUCAUAAAAUCACCUUUUUCCAAACUUUGUUUUCAAAUAGUUAAUCAAGAAUUAGUUUAAAUACAAAUUAUUCAUUCAAUCCUUGUGGAAAAUGACCUUGCUUGAGCUGCUAUACUACGACAACCUUGUACUCUUGUUGUAUUUUUAAGUGUUUUUAUCCCUACUUUUGCAGGUGUUAAAAAUUCCUAUCAAAUAUGACAAGUAAAAAUCAUAAAAUAGACUAAAAGAUUAAUAUUUUAAGCUUAAAGAACUAGAGCUCUUCCUAUGGUAUAGCCUAGGCGAGCCUUGUACUUGGCUCCGCUAGUGGUCGUUGGUUCACACGCUUGCCAACCUGUCUCUGAUACUAUGAAGGAAGUUGAGAUUCCACCACAAAACCAAUUAGUAAUAUAAAAAGUAGCUCAACUCAUUAUAAGCCUUUGCAAUGUUAUCCAUCACCUAUGUGGGACAUUGUCCUUCAUUGUCUCACAUUAGAAACACGUCAAAUGGAAGCAACUCAACGCUUCUACAAUUCAGAAUCACUUUUAUGUAUUUUUACCAAAUGCAAUUAGUAGCCGCUUUUAAUUGUUAGAUUUAACCAUUUGAAAGCAGUCCCAAAUAUGCCUUUAGAAUGAAAGGCUUUGAUGUGCUUUUAACAAAAGAACUUUUUCAAAAAAAAAAAAAAAAAAAAAAAAAAACGCUUAUGAGUAAAAGUAUUUUCUAUCAUAUAAGUCUUAAAAGGGCUCAUUACAUUUUGUGUCUAGUUGCCAUUGGGUCAUGGAAAGAGAUUGGACGUAGCCCAAUAAAUAUAUGUUUGGGUCAAAUGAAUAGAAUGGGGGGAGGCCGGGGAGUGGCCUGCACACAAAGAGGACGGUGGUGGGCUUGGCGGCCGGAGUGGUUCGUGGUGAGCACGCAAAUACUUGGAGAGGACUCUAAACAAGUGGCGGUAAACGAAGGGUCCGGUCAGAGUCUGCGAUUUCGGUGACGAACUCCCCUCACCGCCUUCCCCUUUCCUUUUCCCUUAACCCCCAACCCACACCCUCACUAUAAAUAUUAAAUAUACAUAAACCACUCUCUCUCCUCCCCCUCUCUCUCAUCCCGUUUCUUCUCCGGGUCGAUUUGUGUCCCUCCGAGACAAACCCAUCUGUAAAGUAUCCAGCUGAUUAACAGGGACCCACCACACAGCCACACACAAAGGGGAAAGUUUUCCAAUUUUUUACUUUUUAUUUUUGGUUUUUCACUUGAAAUCCCAGAAAUUUAAUCAAGAGAGAGGGAGAUUCUCACUGAAAGUGCGGGAAAUUUUCUCUCCGUUUCUUAUCAUCUGGGACUACCCUAUCAGGUAAUUGCUUGAUUAAUUUAUUUUUUGUUUCUCUUGUUUUGUCGAUUUGGAUCCGAUUUUUAGUUGUUCCUGCGAUUAGGGUUUCUGUUUUUCUUGUGGGGAUUUCAGAAAUUGUUGGAAAGUCUUGAGCUUGAUUGGAAUAAGAUAUGAAUUUAUUUUCUUUAUUUUCUUGUUUGGGUGGUCAGAAAAUGCUGGAAAGUUUUGAGCUUGAUUGGAAUUAGAUGUGAAUUUAUUUUAGAUAGUGAACUCGUGGAUGCUCACGGCUUAGUUUGUUGGAUUUUGAUCAAUUAAUUUAAUUCUAAUUUGAAUUCAUUGCCUUUUGAUUGAUUGCAGUUUUUCAGUGUGUGAAUUCCUUUGGGGAGUUCUUUCUUUCUGAUUCGAUCGCCUAUUUCGGCACACUGUCGGAGAAUAGGAGGUUUGAGAGCUUGGUGGUUUCGCAGAAUAUGAGUUCUCAUGUCCGAAAUGAUCGAAGGGAUAGGUCCAGGUUUCCUGCUCAGCCUACUCAGCCUGCUCGUCGAGAGUGGGUGCCGAGAGGAUCCAACCCUGCCAUUGCCACUGCUGCCGUGAACCCGCCUCCACAAGUCAAUCCAAACAACCAGAAUGGCAAUGUCACCCAGCCUAAUCUAAGAUUCAAUCCAAACAACCUGAAUGGCAAUGUCAGCCAGCCUACUCCAAGAUUCAACCUGGACAACCCGAAUAGCAAUGUCAGCCAGCCUAAUCAUAGCUCUGUUCCAUCAGAGAUUCGGCCGCAUAGAGGAGGAAAUAAUGGCGUUAGAGGACAGGGUCGGCCGGUGAACCAUAGAAGGGAGAGGGGAAGGAAUGACAAUCAAGAGGAGAAGGGAUUGAAGGACUCAAAUUUGCCCCAGCUUGUGCAAGAAAUUCAGGAUAAGCUGACGAAGGGCACUGUCGAGUGUAUGAUUUGUUAUGAUAUGGUGAGGAGGUCUGCACCUGUUUGGUCCUGCUCAAGUUGCUACUCAAUUUUCCAUCUGACUUGCAUCAAGAAAUGGGCUCGAGCUCCCACUUCUAUCGACAUGUCUGCGGGGAAGAAUCAGGGGUUUAAUUGGCGGUGUCCUGGAUGUCAAUCUGUACAGCUCACUUCGUCAAAGGAGAUUCGGUAUGAUUGCUUUUGUGGCAAGAGGACAGACCCACCUUCAGAUUUGUAUUUGACACCACAUUCAUGUGGCGAGCCUUGCGGGAAGCAACUCGAGAGGGAGGUACCGGGUAAGGGUGUGAGUAAGGACGAUCUUUGCCCUCACGUUUGUGUCUUGCAGUGCCACCCAGGUCCAUGCCCUCCUUGUAAAGCAUUUGCCCCUCCACGUUUAUGCCCAUGUGGAAAGAAAAUAAUCACAACAAGAUGUUCCGACCGGACAUCUGUUCUGACUUGUGGUCAGCAUUGUAAUAAGCUUCUUGAUUGCUGGCGUCACCGCUGUGAGCGGACUUGCCAUGUGGGUCCUUGUGAUCCUUGUCAGGUUCUUGUUGAUGCGUCCUGCUUUUGCAAGAAAAAGGUGGAGGUUGUUCUUUGUGGAGACAUGACUGUGAAGGGAGAGGUGAAGGCAGAAGAUGGUGUUUUUUCAUGCAGUUCCACGUGUGGAAAAAUGCUUAGCUGCUGUAAUCAUUCCUGCAGCGAAGUUUGCCAUCCAGGGCCAUGUGGAGAUUGCAAUUUAAUGCCAAGUAAGACUAAGACAUGCCACUGUGGGAAAACAAGCUUGCAAGAGGAACGACAGAGUUGUUUGGAUCCGAUUCCAACCUGUUCACAAUUAUGUGGUAAGUCUCUCCCUUGUGGGAUGCACCAGUGUCAAGAGGUGUGCCAUACUGGGGAUUGCCCACCUUGUUUGGUUGAAGUGACCCAAAAAUGUCGUUGUGGGUCAACUUCUCGGGCAGUGGAAUGCUUUAAAACCACAAUGGAGAAUGAGAAAUUUACUUGUGACAAGCCUUGUGGGCAGAAGAAGAAUUGUGGAAGACAUCGGUGCAGUGAGAGGUGCUGUCCCCUUUCUAAUUCAAAUAAUGCUCUCUCAGGGGAUUGGGAUCCUCACUUUUGCUCUAUGCCCUGUGGGAAGAAGUUAAGGUGCGGUCAGCAUUCUUGUGAAUCGCUUUGUCACAGUGGCCACUGCCCUCCCUGCCUUGAUACAAUCUUCACGGACCUGACCUGUGCCUGUGGGAGGACUUCAAUCCCUCCUCCACUACCAUGCGGUACCUCUCCCCCGUCAUGUCAGCUGCCGUGUUCACUCCCUCAGCCUUGUGGGCAUACAUCUUCUCACAGCUGCCACUUUGGAGACUGUCCACCGUGUUCGGUGCCUGUGGCAAAGGAGUGCAUUGGUGGGCAUGUGGUCCUCAGGAACAUUCCUUGUGGGUCGAGGGACAUCAAGUGUAACAAGCUCUGUGGGAAGACAAGGCAGUGUGGUAUGCAUGCUUGUGGCAGGACUUGUCACCCACCUCCCUGUGAUACAUCUUGCUCAGCAGAACAAGGUUCAAAAACUUCUUGUGGGCAGAUAUGUGGUGCUCCUAGGAGAGAUUGCAGGCAUACAUGUACUUCACUUUGUCACCCUUAUGCUUCUUGUCCUGAUAGCAGAUGUGAUUAUUCUGUCACAAUCACUUGUUCUUGUGGCCGGAUGACAGCAACUGUUCCUUGUGAUUCUGGUGGCAACAAUGCUAGUUUCAAGGCCGAUACUGUGUACGAAGCUUCUGUUAUUCAAAGGUUGCCAGCACCACUUCAACCAAUUGAAUCAACCGGCAAGAAGAUCCCGCUUGGACAGAGGAAGCUUAUGUGUGAUGAUGAAUGUGCUAAGAUGGAGCGGAAACGGGUUCUUGCAGAUGCUUUUGAUAUAGCUCCUCCAAACUUGGAUGCACUCCAUUUUGGUGAGAGUUCUGCUGUUUCUGAGUUGCUUUCGGACCUUCUUAGACGUGAUCCCAAGUGGGUAUUAUCAGUGGAGGAGAGAUGCAAGUACUUAGUGCUCGGCAAGGGCAGAGGUGCUACAAGUGGUCUCAAGGUUCAUGUUUUCUGUCCAAUGCUAAAGGAGAAGAGGGAUGUAGUUCGGAUGAUCGCUGAAAGAUGGAAGCUUGCAGUUCAAGCCGCUGGUUGGGAGCCCAAGCGAUUUAUUGUGGUUCAUGUUACACCAAAAUCAAAAGCCCCCGCUCGGAUACUUGGGGUUAAGGGUACAACAACAGUUGGUGCACCCCAGCCUCCAGCUUAUGAUUAUUUAGUAGACAUGGAUCCCAGGCUUGUAGUUUCAUUCCCAGAUCUUCCUAGAGAUGCAGAUAUAAGUGCACUUGUAUUAAGGUUUGGUGGGGAGUGUGAGUUAGUAUGGUUGAACGAUAAGAAUGCAUUAGCUGUAUUCAACGAUCCUGCUCGAGCAGCAACUGCAAUGAGGAGGUUGGAUAAUGGCGCACUAUAUCAUGGCGCUGUAGUUGUCCACUCAAAUGGGAGUGCAUCUAUGGCGGCAUCGGGUUCUAACGCUUGGGGUGGACUGGGGACAGCUAAGGAAGGUGGAGCGUCUGCAGUGCUGAGGGGUAAUCCGUGGAAGAAGGCUGUUACGCGAGAGUCUGGUUGGAGGGAAGAUUCAUGGGGUGAGGAAGAGUGGUCAGGCAGUUCUACAGAUGCGCAGGCAAACGUGUGGAAUAAAGAAGUACCAAUUGCUGCCUCAGUAAAUCGAUGGAGUGUACUAGACAGUGACACGGCAUUGGGCUCAUCCGCUUCAUCUCCCAGGGUUGAGGACUCUAGAAAACAGCCUUUGGGUCCAUCAAAUUCGGGUUUGGAGUCGAAAGCAAGCGGUUCGAGUUCGAGUUCCACUUUGGCUGGGCAGCCAGUUGGAGUUAUUGCAGAUACACCUGAAGUUGAUGACUGGGAGAAGGCUUAUGAAUGAAGAUAGAAUCGAGAAACAUAUUGAAAAAGAAAAGUUAAGGGCCUCUGGGGGUGCGGGAUUUGUAGUACGAGUAGGAUGCCCUGCCUUUGUUUUCUUUUUGUUUUGCUGCAUUUGGGUAUUUCUAUUUUUGGCCCAAAGAAAUGUUUAGUUAGCUCCACAAUUUUAUCAUCUUUUUCAUUUUAUACUUGUCUUCUGAGAUAUGGUUUGUAUUAAUUAUUGCUUCCAUGGAUUUCAAUGCGAGGAGAAUCCAGUUAGACUUGGUGUUACGUUUUGGUUUUGGACAUAGUUGUGGAAGUGGAUGACAUACAUCUGAUACAUGACUUCUCUCGUUAUCUCCUUCGUCAUGUGACAUAAUUCAUAUAAUCCUUCUAGCUUUGGUUUUCAAAACGAAGGAUGAUUGAUAAAAUUUUAAUAAAUAAUCUCUAAAACUCACUGUUCUAAAAAUCCCCGCCUAGCGCCGCCUAGGUCCCGUCUAGGCGUUAGGUCCCAGCCCACCGCCCCGAUUAAUGCCUAGGCCCCAGCCCACCGCCUAGACCACCUAGGCACCCGUCUAGACCUGCCUAGGUUGCAACUCACUUAGACAAAAAAUACAUAACUUUCAUUUUGCAUUUUCUUUUUUUCCAAUAAAUUGUAAGAGACUUGUUGCAUACUUGAAUGAACAAACAUUAUAUCCUUAUUUCACAUGUUUUCAUUAUGUUCCAAUACUUCAUGAUAUAUAUGCAUUCUAUUUUGUAGUUUAUGAUGAAAUUAUAUAUAUUUCAAGUAGAAGCAGACACUUAUUUACCUGAAAUAUGAUAGAUUUACUUAAAUCCGCCUAGUCCGCCUAAGCUCCCGCCUAGCCGCCUAGCCGCUAGGCCCCAAUCCGCCGCCCGACUAGCGCCUAGCGACUUUUAGAACCUUGCUAAAACUUUAUGCUGGUCCUAUCUAGUGUGAAAACUGAUUUAUUGAAAUCUCUUUCUUGAUAAAGAGGUUGUAGCAUACAACUUAGAUAUAUCUAUAUAUACACUCCCUAUCUCUCAUUUCACGUGAUUCCAUUACUCCAAGUACAUUUCCAUACUCUUCUUAUAGGCACACUUUCAUCACUUAUGUUGACCGUUUGAUUGGUUGUGAUCUCGAGGAGUUUAUAGAGCGAAGAAGCAGAUGAACAACCAAAUUUGGACAAAGUCCGCCCCAUAACCAACAGAAGUUGCAAAAUCAAUCACACAACAUGAACAUGUCACGUGGGAGGUUCCUCCCUCCUACCCAAACCCAACUCCCAAACGGAAAGGUACGCGAGAUGUUGAUGUGGAUGUGAUUUUCCCUAAUAUUAAUUAGACAAUCCACACGUUAAAAUUGUUAACAUAUUAGACUUGAAAAAUCAUCACACAUGAAGGGGGUGUUGAGAUUAUAUAUUCCGCAUCGGAAAAAUAAGGACCAUAUAUGUGCUUAUAAAUAAUUGAACUACUCUCCAUAUUGCUAAUAAAUUUUAGAGGUGUGAUAUCCACACACCUCAUUUUACUUCUCACACUCCUUUUUAUUUUCAGCUGUCGGAUCAGAUGAAUUGAAGAAGAUCAACGGACAUAAAUUAUCAAGAGGUGUGUGAGAAGUAAAAUGAAGUGUAUGGAUAACACACUCCUAAAUUUUAUAGUAGAACCUUAACUUCCUUCUCACUCUCAACCCGGCAUUCCCUAUCUACUACCGAUAUAUACAAAUAUGGAAUAUCAUCAUCCCCUAAAAACUAUGUAACAUCUCUCUCACCGUCUGUCUGUAAAUUGGAAGUUUACAUUCUGUCUUGUGAACUCCCUGUAUUAAGCAUUGUAUAAGUCGCUUGGCAGUUGGCAUUCCCAUAUCUCUCAGUCGUUUCUUAUAUAUAAAAUCUGCACAGUAAUAUCUAUUUAGUAUUCAUUUGUUUAACCUUUUGUUUUCAAUCCGGCUAGUGAUCUCAGACAUCCAUGCAACCUCAGCUCACGCCUCCUAACCAGUUAAAGGUAACUUUCUUCCUUCUGUUUAACUACAAAACUCGUACGUAAUUUUUCUUUCACUUAAUUUUAGUGGAAAAAGUUAUCUGGUUUGAACUAAAUGGAAUUAUGAAGUAGCUGAAGAAUUGAUCCAUGAUCUCACUCUAACAUCUCCGUUUCGGGUUGUUUUAGUCACUUGAUUUGCAUUGCUCUAAUAUUUCUGUAGCUAGUAUUUUUUUUUUUAUCCCUUACCAUGAAAAAUGAAAAAAAAAAACAAACAAUAGCUAAGAUCCAAACCUUUAAUGGUAUCUACAGACUACUGCUUUAGUAUGUUUUCUCUUGCAUUUACUUUCCGAAUCGGAGUCUUUUUUUUAAUCAACGGGGAUGGGGAUUCAAGGUUUCAAACUUGGGGCAAUUUCCAACGUUGAGAAGAAAAGAGAAAUAUCGCUAGACUAACAACUAGUUGACUUUUUCAAAUUGGGGUUAGACCAUCUCCAACCGAAAAGGCUAAACAUAGCCCUGUUCAGAAUUAUGGCCUUGCAAAAAUUAUUUUUGAUGAACAGUGUCAGACCAUUCUCAUACACCAUCUCCAACUAAAGGUACAUAGUCUCCUCAAUAAUUUAUUAGUUUCAAGUUUAUACUUUAAAUUUAUUGGUUAAUUUAAUUGAAUUACCGUUGUAUGUUUUCACAUCUAGUCGUUGAAUUGAAAUUAAUUAUUGCAACUGAGGAGCUGAUUUCAAAAAAUGGCUAAGAAGGGCCUACAUUUGGCUAGCCUGAUGUCCCUUUGGCCAACUAAUGGUCUGGUGGACUCUAGAGAAUUAUAGCCCAACCAUCGAUUGAAGAUGAAUUUUUUAAGCAAACCAAAUUAUCUUUUAGCUUUUAGACUUUUAGCCCUCCCCAUUGGACAUGGCCUUAUUAUCCGGCCUUUCACCUAGGCUGGUGUUGUAAAUAAAAUCUUGUUAAAUUUGACCAAUUGGAUCUAACUACAGUUCCGUUUUCGAUUUAGGGAUCAGUAUACAUCCUUCACCUAAUUAGUUUUUGAGUUGUUAAUAUGCAGGAGACAUGGAAGCACACAAUUCGUUUGUCAUUUCAGAGCCUUGGAGUAAUAUAUGGUUCAACUGAGUACAGCUCCCUUAUACGUGUUCGGGACAUUGAACGCAGACGAUAUCAAAUCAGACGAGACCGUUUAUGAGCUAUUCUCCUUCAUUUUCCGGACUAUUAACAUCAUUUCUUUACUCAAGUAUGCAUUUAUAGUAUUAGCAGCUGAUGACAAUGGAGAAGGUAAUGUUCUAGUUUCAUCGCAACAGCAAGAAUUAAUUUUCGAGGAUUCUGCAUUGGAUUAACUUUUACUUUAACCUUGUUGUAGGUGGUACUUUUGCUUUGUAUUCACUCCUGUGUAGGCAUGCUAAAGUUGGCCUGCUUCCAAGUGACAGUAGUGCUAAUGACGUUAUGCUCUAUGAGGCGGGAAGCCCGUACAAGACAAAGAUGGAAUCAAGGGCUAGAAGAGCCAUAGAAAAACAUAGAAGUAGCCACUAUUUGAUGUUGUUCCUAGCUCUUUUUGGUUCCUGCAUGACAAUCGGCGUUGGGGUGUUUACCCCAGCUCUUUCUGGUUUGGCAUUCCUCAUUACCUUUUCUAAAUAUUACUGGAAAUUUAUAAGAAAGUUUACUUUCUGCAUCGAAUUUAUGCCGAAUUUGAUCAUAUGUAGCAUUAGUAUCAUUUUGUAGAUUGAUGAUUUGUUUUCUGUUCUUUUUCUUAACCAGUCUAUGCAGUUUCAUCCAGUAUUCAAAGAUCAUUGUUGGAUAUUGAAUCCAGAUGUAAGAGCUAUAUGUAAAUUCAGUUACAGAAAUAUUUAUUUCUUUCAACCAUCCUUUAAUCACCAUAGUCAAUCACUCACUACACUGACACAAAUGUAUCUUGUGGUUCUUAAUCUCUAACCAGUUUCAAAGUCGGAAAAAAAAGCGAGGCCAUAUCAAAAGCUUUAGAAAUGUGAGUAUUCUGUCAUCAAGUAGUUACAAUAUCCAUUGAAUUUGUUCCACUUUCUUGCUCGUGUUGUUUCGUAGUCAGUGACCUUGAGAAGGUUGAACACUUUUCCCCAUCACAACUGGAAAGUUAACAUACAGACAGUAAAUAACAAAUUUCUGAGCCUGCCAAUCGUGAUAGCUAAGUUUAUCCAGUUCCCACUGAAUCUGCUAUAUUGGUCACGAUUUAGAUAUCUGAGUUACGUAUCUGUUUUAGACCCUCGGAAUCUUAUUUGUUUCAGACGUCUCGGUUCCCACUGCAUCUGCUAUAUUGGUGUGCCUCUUCACACUACAGCACUAUGGGACUCGUAAAAUUGGGUUUAUGUUUGCUCCUGUCAUCGUUGUUUGGCUGUUAUUUAUCGGUGGAGGGGGUGCAUAUAACAUUUUCCACUGGAACAGAGAAAUUAUCCGUGCUACCUCCCCUAUAUACAUUUACAGGUUCUUUAGGAAGAUUCACAGCAAAACUUGGAGGUCAUUAGGCAGCAUCGCUUUAUGUGUAGCAGGUUUUAUCUCCUUCCUUCAGCCGUGAUCUCAUGAGCUUCAUUUUAUUAUCCACAAGAUUUACAUUAAUUAAUUUUAUUUCGGAACCAGAUGUUUUGGCUUGAUCCUACUUUUCAUUCAGAAACACUGACUUCUGCAGGAUCGGAAGCAAUGUUUACAUCUCUAGGUCAUUUCAGAAAGAAAUCAAUCAAGGUUUUUGAUACAUCUCAUAUUCUUUCAAUCACAUCAAAGUGUAGUUCGAAUUUUAAAUUAACUUACGGACGGUGUGUUGCUGUAGAUGACAUUUGUUUGCUUCAUAUAUCCAGUCCUUGUUUUAAGCUACGGCGGUCAGGCUGCAUGUGUCUCCAAAAACUUGGAUGCUAAAUAUUUCAAUCAUCUCAGUGAAUCCAUGCCUAGUAAGUUGUAUUUUUCCUCAAUGCUUGUUUUGUUUGCAUUUUUGAGAUAUCUAACAUAUGGAAUGGAUUGUGAAUGAAAAUUCCUGGACAAAUUCGCCACGGGUUUGUAGUAUUUUCACUUCUUGCUUCAGUUGUGGGAAGCCAGGCAACUAUAACAGCAUGCUUCUCCAUCAUAAAUCAGUGCCUGGCACUUGGUUGUUUUCCGAGAGUAAAAGUUAUUCAUACAUCAGAUGAGAUACACGGGCAGGUUUACAUUCCUGAUAUCAACUGGCUAUUGAUGGUUCUAAGCCUCGUUGUUACGAUUGGUUUCCAUGAUAUUAUCAAAAUUGGUAGCGCGACAGGUAUUCAUUUCCCAACGAUCCGUCUUCUUUAGUACUGUAGUGAAUUAGUACAAAAACUCCUGACAAGUUUUAUUCUCUGCACUCCUCACCAGAAAUGCUUGUAACAACAAUUGGUUAUCUAAUCGAUGUUAAGUUAAAUCUUCCAUAGGUUUGGCUAUAAGUUCUGGAAUGCUUGUAACGACUUGUCUCAUGUCACUUGUAAUUGCGCUAUACUGGGAGAAGAGUUUGUUUGAGUCCGUCAGCUGUCUAAUAUUCUUUUGGCUGUGGGCUGUGGGCUGUGGGCUGUGGGCUGUGUGUGUGUAGGUGUGUAAGUGUGAGUGUGGGUUUGGGUUUAAGUCCAAACCACCUAUUUAUUUCUAACCAAAAUCAAAACCCUUUACCUAAACCCAUUAGACACUAACCUAUUCAACCCAAAUCCUUUAGAAAAUCUUUUUAUUUAUUUAUUACAUUUUUAUACUUAGGGGCAAUUAUUGUGGCUUUUGCAUAUUCGCUAGCUGCACGGCUUUUUGAUGGCGAAGUACUGUGAGUGGACCCCUUCUAAAAUUGCAUGAUUUUAUAGUUCAAUUGCAUAAAUGAAUAGCAUGCCUUACGAGUUUAUGAUUUGAUUUAUGUUAAGUCUGUUUAUUAAAUAUAUUGAUUUUCGUCUCGUAUUUUUGGUGAGGAAUUACUGUUGGCCUAUAUUGAGCUAUAUUUUGGAAUAUCAUAUUUUCUAUAAAAACCAUGAACUGGUAGACUAUCUGAUGGAUGACGAUAGGAUGCUAGAACAUGUUUUAGAAACCCCUCUUUAUAGUAUAGACGAUUGAUGACUUUAUACUAUGAAGUGGUUAUUUAUGAGAGGCGUAACUAUUUGUGGGUACCUAGUGGACACUAUGCCGCCCGGGGCGAGGAUCUGGUGUUGACAGAUAGGCCGGGAGAAAUAAUCCCUAGCUACGGGCUAAGGGACACGAAGCAGGCAUUGGGCCGGGAGUUGGUAAUCUCUGGCUACGGGCGCAGAAACCACGGAGCAGGCAUUGGGCCGAGAGUUAUAUUUAUUUAGUGAUAUUUCUAGCAACACACCGCGCUUACGAGACGAUCUACGAGACGAUACAUGCGAUGAUUUAUAUGAUGUUUUUCCGCGUUAUACCUGUUGAGAUGUUUUAUGGCAUGCUAGAGUUUUAGAAAAACCUAUCAUUUAUUAUGCUAGUAGUUUUCAUUAUAUAUAAACUGUGGGGGUUAGUACAUUGAUAACUGUUUUAUUAUUAUUAUAUAUAUGAACUUGAUCCACUUACCUUUGUUUUGCGCCCCGAUUCAGGACUUAGGAUCAAUGCACUGAAUCCCGGCAUCAAGACACUUCCGCAGCAGCAUCUUUGAAUCCUCUCGAUGUAGGAUCCACUUCUUUAUUUAUUCAAUUUUAUCUUAAUUCUUUUUAGUGAUUAGGUUUAGUUGUAUGCUCUGAACACGUUCCUAAAUUAUUAACUCAUUGUAUUAGAUUUCAUAACCCUUAUUUACUUCUUAUUCUUAGCUUUUGUAUCAAUUAAUGGCUUUUGUCACCCUCGGGUGUCGGCCAGCACAUGCCUAUCCUGGUAUUCGAGGAAUAUCGGGAUCGGGGCGUGUCAAUUUGCAUGGAAGAAAGUGAUUUAGAUUCCCAAAAUUCAUCCGAAGGAAGAAUGAUUGUUGUUGGAAAGCCACCAGCUGAUGGAACCGGAAGUGUUUUGAUUCCUUUGAAUGAUACAAAUUCAUAUGAGAUGGAGUGUGAGUAAUGCGAGCAACGAAGCUGGGUCUCCAUUAGGUGAUGCAAUUGAGAGUGGUUUUACGCCGGCGACGAGAAGGAAAGUCCGGUUCAUGUUGCCUCCAAAUAGUCCGAAAAUGCGCAUAUCUGUGAGGGAGGACCUGCAAGAACUGAUUGAUGCAAGGGAGAGUGGGACUGCGUACUUCUUAGGGCAGGUGCAUUUAGCAGUGCGCAACGGAUUGAACAUUCUAAAGCGAUUGCUGAUCAUGACUUAUGUGUUUCUGGAUAAAAAUUGCAGAGAGCCUCCAGUUGCACUCAGCAUUCCUCAUGCUGCUCUUGUUGAGGUUGGCAUGGUCUGCUGCAUAUGAACUGUAUUGCCAACGCAGCACGGGAGUUAUACAGCGAGCGAGAGGAGAAAGGAGGAGGACAGGAUCCGAGAUCGGAGAUAUAAGAAACCAGUAUAUUGCCAGCUAGUUUAAGUUUUUACAUGUACUACAAGAUAUGAGGAGUAAAAUCUGUACUGCAUAUAUUAGUCCAGGAGUAAUGCUUCGUGCAUUGCUUGGAAACAGCACAAGAUUAAAAAAAAAGUAAGAACUGAUUAAUUCUCUCUAAAUAAUUAAAUUGAUUCAAAUUUACAGCCAAACAUCUUUGGUAAUGAAAAUUUGACCUUGAUGAAUUAGUUCUAAACAAAACUGUGAAGUCAUUGAACGAUCCACAAAUUUGAUUUCAUAACUUUUUAUUAUUUUAUUAACAAAAUAAGUUGAAUGUCCACCAGAAUAUAUACCAAUUAGUAAUAUGGAGAGCAAUAUAAUUUUUAUAAGUACAUGCAAAGUCUUUUAAUUAUCGAUGUAAAAUUAACACUCUCAACAUGGAGAAUCCUAAAAAAUAAUAAGAGAUAUAACUUUUAAGGGUUUAAAUUUCCAUUAGAGAAAUUCAAAUAGGUAUCCAUGCAGGGUGAUAUAUAGCCGUCCCAAAUGAAUAUGGGUGACAAUACAGAAAGAUAUGCAGGAAUUCAAAAUUUGAAGUAUUUUAAUCCUCGCUAUAAUUGCAUGCAUUUCUGUUGUUAUCCUGGCUAGAUAGCAUCCAGGUGAACUAUAUGAUGGAUGAUUAAUACAUAUUACUAGUGUAAUACAAAUGAUAGCGACUACUAGUUAUGAAUGGGGGUCUUCCUUCUGGCCGGGGUGUAAUCCAUGACCAGCAACACCAAAUCUUGUCCAGUUGCGAGAUUUUUCUCUCGUUUUGUUUUGAAUGAAUUUGUUUGAAUGGUCUUGGCAGCUUCAUCUUGAACAAGACCUGCACCUUUUUCGUGGACCCCCAUAUAUCCUGAUGAUGCAUGACAGUUGACAGCAAGAAAAAAGCAUAUCAUAGUGUAUAUUACUACACAUUAAUUAAAGAAAUUUAAAGAGAAUUACCAUAAUUUGAUUAAUUAAGGGGGUGUAUUCAAUUAAGAAUUUGAGAGAUUUUAAUGAAUUUAUAAAUUUAUGGAUUUUUAUGGAGUUUAAUUGAUUUGUAGAGAUUCCAUAUAAAAUUUUGAUUCAAUUCCCUCGAAAUCUCAUAGGAAGAUGUGAGAUUUGUGGAUGCUUAAAAUACACUACAAAAUCUCUCAAAUUCCCUCUAAUUCCUCAACUUUCUCAAAUUCUUUAAAAUUAAUUUAUAAUUGAAUAUACCUGAAAUGUUAUAAACUUCUUUAAAAUCCUAAUUGAAUACACCUGGAUUUCUAAGGAUUUUAAUAAAUUAUCUUAAAAUUCUAAUUGAAUACAACUUGAAUUUCAAAGAAUCACUUAAAAUCCUGAUUGAAUACUUCUAAAUUUAUUAAAAGAAUUAAAAUCCCUCAAAAUCUCAAUUGAAUACACCAUCAGAAAAGUAAAACUAGAAUUUGAUGAGAAUAAAUGAACGUACGUCUACCAUCAACAAAAACGACUGAGGCAAUGAAGAUCAGCAGCACCACAAAUGCAAAAACUAGCUUGUUUAGCCCUAACGCCACCAGUACUACUGUACGAAAAUCGAGGAAAUUAUUUGAAAUGAGAAUUUGUUUAUAAGUUCUUGGCAAUAUUAAGAGAUGUUUCUGCACUGCAGCUUCCUCUUCCGCUGGCUUAAAGAAUUUGCUUCCUCUUACAUAGAGUGUAUGUGUGUGAAGUUCGUGAUUCUAAUUGGACAUAUAUGUGGAUGUGGGGGCAACUGGAUGUUGAAGUGUAAGUUAACGUAGGCAUAAGCAAAGCCAGAGGUUUUUGAGCAUAUGGUGUCAAAUUAUUAUAUCAAUUUCAAUCGCAUCUUCGUACGGACACAAUAGUCCCAACAGUAGUACUAAUGUUAAUUUCUUUCUCGUACAUAUAUAGCUAGUUUUCUUGAAUUAGAAUAUCGAGGAUAUAUGUUUUCCCUAUAUAUAUAUAGCAAAAUCCUGUUGCUCCUAUUAGGACAGAUGAUACAUCAUCCAUUUCUGUUAAUGAUAAAUAGUUUGGAAAAACUAAAUGUAGUUAGUUUUGUUAUUAGUUGUGGUUAGUUAGGAUUGUACAAGUUUAGUUAAGGAAGCUAAGGGUAUAAAUGUAAAGAGCCAAAGGCUAUAUAAAUGUACAUCCAUGUAAUUGUUUAUUCAGUCAAUGAAAUACAAUCUUACAGAAGAAGAUUUGUUUCUCUUUAUGGUAUCUCGCCUUUUUGCUUCACAGCAUCGUAUCCAUCUUCCGCAUCGAUCGAUCUUCUCUUGAUCGAUUCUUGGUGUUUCAACUCUGAUUCUUCACUCUUUCUUCUCUGAUUUCUCUUCUGUUCGUCGAUUGAUUCUUGUUCGAGAUCAUGGCUUCUCCGUCAGAUUCGUCCCCAAUUGGAUCUUCUCCGACUCCAAACCCUAAUUCCUCUUCUAAUCCUCCUUCUCUGAAUUCGUACACUUCUCUGACGAUUCACAACAUUGGUAGUAUGGUGCCGAUUAAACUGAAAAGCUCCAACUAUCUUCCAUGGCGAGCGUUGUUUGCUCCUAUUUUCCGGCGUUACAAACUUCUCGGUGUGAUUGAAGGCACUGAGAUCUGUCCACCGCCUCUCUUGGCUGAUCGCUCACUGAAUCCAUCUUUUGAAGAAUGGUAUGAAAAAGAUCAAAAUCUGCUAAUCUGGUUGAAUUCCACACUUUCUGAAGAGAUUAUUCCGUUCACGGUUGGCGUCUCGUCCUCUCGCGAGCUUUGGGUGAAGCUUGAACAGUGUUUUGGUGGUGUUUCGGAGGCUAAUAUUCAUCAAUUGCGCUCACGCCUUCAAUCGGUACAGAAAGGCUCAAAUUCUAUCUCGGGAUAUCUCCAGCAAAUCAAGGAAAUUGCAGAUUCAUUACAUGCUGCAGGUGCUUCCGUCUCCGAUCGUGAUCUAAUUGCUGCUACUUUACAUGGUUUGCCUGAUGAGUUUGAGUCCUUCAUUGAUUCUAUAAUGCUUCGUUUGUCUUCGACGUCUCUGGAUGAACUUCACGGUCUCUUACUUACCAAGGAGCUUUCUAUGGCUCGACGGAAGACAGUCUCUUCAGCCUCUGUGGUUGAACCAUUUCAGGCUUUCUCUGUGCAGUCUCAGCCUCCUAUGCUUCCUACUCCCUCGGCAUUUGCUGCUCAGUCUUUACCACUUCACUCUGCCUCUCGGUACAACUCCAAUCGUGGCAAGCCUCCUAGGGGUCAAUUCAUUUCCAAUCGAGGAAAUCGCAAUCCUCGUGGUAAUUUCAAUCCUAAUCGUGGUAAUCGGAUUUAUCAAGGCUCGCGCAAUCAUCCCGGUUCUUCUACCUUCAAAGUCCAAUGUCAAAUUUGUGGAUCUACCAGUCAUGAGGCCCUUGACUGCUUUGAUCGCAUGAACCCCGAGAUCUGUGGUCGUAUUCCUCCAGCUAAACUUGCUGCCAUGUGUGUACAUCAUUCUGCUAAACCAUCUCAGCCUUGGUUAAUUGAUUCUGGAGCUACAUCUCACAUCACCAAUGAUAUUGCUAACAUCUUUUCUCCUACUCCCUACACUGGAGAGGACAAAGUGUAUAUUGGAAAUGGUAAAGGUUUAUCCAUUCAUAAUGUUGGUUCCUCCUCUCUGUACACUCCUCAUCAUUCUUUUAAGCUGCAGAAUGUUCUUCAUGUUCCUUCCAUGGCACAUAAUCUUUUAUCUGCUUAUCAAUUUCUUAAGGAUAAUGAUUGUGAAUUAACUCUUGACCCUUAUGGAUCCACUGUCAAGGAUCGUACUUCGGGGAGGAUGCUUUUGCGGGGACCGGUUAGAGAUGGUUUCUAUCCACUGCAAAGUUCCAGUACCUCUUCUCCUUCAUUACACUCUGCCUUUCUCAGUGUUAAAGCUCCUGUCAAAGUGUGGCAUCAACGCUUAGGUCAUCCAUCUUCUUCAAUAUUUCGUAGGGUCAUCUCUACUAAUAAGCUUGCAGUGCAUGGUAAAUCUUCGGUUGACUUCUUCUGUUCAGACUGUGCUCUAGCUAAGAACCACAAGCUUCCUUUUGGAGUGGCUUCUUCAACUACAACUCGCAGCCUUCAACUGUUGCACUGUGAUUUGUGGGGACCUGCUUCUGUUAAAUCUAGUAGUGGCUUCCAGUACUACUUACUUCUGGUUGAUGAUUUUAGUAAAUAUAGCUGGUUUUUCCCUUUGAAAGCCAAGUCUGAUGUAUUUUCUACAUUUGUUAUCUUCAAAAACUAUGUAGAAAAUUUACUUGGAAAUAAAAUACAAACUUUGCGUUCAGAUUCAGGGGGUGAGUUCACUGGUAACUCUUUUGCUUCCUUUCUUCGCACACAUGGUAUUCUUCAUCAAUUUAGCUGUCCGCAUACUCCUGAACAAAAUGGAUGUGCCGAGAGGAAGCACCGCCAUCUUGUUGAAACAGCUCGUACUUUACUUGUUGCUUCUCAUGUACCUCAUGUGUUUUGGGUAGAAGCCUUCUCGACUGCCAUAUACCUCAUCAAUCGCCUGCCCAUCUCUGGUCUUACAAUCUCUCCUUGGGAAAUUUUAUUUAAUCAGCCACCGGAUUAUUCCAAACUCAGAGUAUUUGGCUGUCAAUGCUUCCCAUGGCUCAAACCUUAUGUGCAUAGUAAACUGGAUGCUAAGAGCAAGAGCUGUAUAUUUUUGGGCUACAGUCUUCAACACAAAGGCUAUCGCUGUUUUGAUCCUAUUGACAACCGAGUCUACAUCUCUAGACAUGUAAUCUUUCAUGAAGACGCAUAUCCUUUUCAGUCCCUGCCUCUUCAUUACUCUCGGUCAGCCACUGCUUCUCCAGUUUCUUCUUCUUCCAUGGACCUUUACUUUAGCAAGUUUACUCAACCUGCUAAUCCAGGUGCUGCUACCUCAUCUUCCUCUAGCCCGAGGUCUCUUUCUUCACCGAGUGCUUCUCAUCCUGCCUCUAUGCCUGCAAGUCCUGCUGUAUCACCAACUGCAAAUCCUGAUGUCUCACCACCUGCAUCUCUGCCUGCAAGUCCUGAUGUAUCACCACCUGUGCCACGCCCUCUUCCCAUUUCUGUUAAUGUUCAUCCUAUGAUUACUAGAUCUAAGGCAGGAAUUUACAAACCUAAGGCUUAUGCAGCAACUAAACAUCCACUCCCAGUUCCUCUUGAUUUUGUUCCAAGCACCUAUUUACAAGCGUCUAAGUAUGCUCACUGGAGGGCUGCUAUGCAGGAUGAAUAUAAUGCAUUACUAUCUACAGGGACUUGGUCUCUAGUUCCUUCUCAUUCCACUCAAAAUGUCGUCGGCUGCAAGUGGGUGUUUCGUGUCAAGACAAAAGCUGAUGGUACUGUUGAUCGAUACAAAGCCCGACUAGUGGCCAAGGGCUUUCAUCAGCAAGAGGGAAUUGAUUUCCAAGAAACCUUUAGUCCGGUUGCUAAACCGGUUACCAUUCGAAUUCUGCUUACUCUUGCUGUUCAACACAAUUGGUUCUUAAAUCAAUUAGAUAUUAGCAACGCCUUUCUUCAUGGUGACUUAAAAGAGGUUGUUUACAUGCAACAACCCCCUGGUUUCAUUGAUCAUCUCUUUCCAGAUCAUGUAUGCAAGCUCAGAAAAUCGUUGUAUGGACUCAAACAAGCGCCUCGCGCUUGGUUUGAUAAACUGUUUCAAGUAUUACAUGCUCUUGGUUUCACCCAAUCCUCCUCUGAUGCAUCUUUAUUUGUAUUGAAUGGUCCUCAGUUGGUUAUAGUUCUUGUGUAUGUGGAUGACAUUCUUGUCACUGGGCCUAACUCCACUCUCUGUCAUCAGUUUAUUCAGCAGCUAAGUGACAGAUUUCCAGUGAAGGAUCUUGGUCCUUUACACUAUUUUUUGGGGUUGGAAGUUCAGAGGUCUUCCCACGGGAUCUUUCUUCAUCAAACAAAAUAUUUACUUGAUCUUCUCUAGCGGACAAAUAUGGAGGGUGCAAAGCCUUGCUGCACACCUCUUGGCUCUAAAAAACUGGAUCACAGUGGGUCACUUCUCUCCAAUCCGACUGAAUAUCGGUCUCUUGUUGGAGGUCUUCAAUACCUCACCUGGACUAGACCGGACAUUGCUUUUGCUGUUAAUCAGUUACGUCAAUUCAUGCAUGCUCCGCGUGAUCAACACUUUCAGGCCGCUAAAAGAGUCCUCCGUUUUCUCAAAGGUUCUUUUUCCCAAGGACUGUGGUUUACCAAAGGUUCUGUUGCUCUCUCUGCCUACUCAGAUGCUGAUUGGGCUGGCUGCACAUUUGAUCGGCGGUCGACUACUGGUUAUUGUGUUUUUCUUGGCUCUAAUCUCAUCAGCUGGAGUGCCAAGAAACAAAGCACUGUUGCUCGUUCUUCUACAGAAGCCGAAUAUCGGUCUCUAGCUCACACAGCUGCAGAACUCACUUGGGUCUGCAAAAUUCUUCGUGACCUUCACUGUUCUAUUCCUAAACUGCCUACUCUGUGGUGUGAUAACAUCUCCGCCAUUUCCUUAGCUUCAAAUCCUGUUUUCCAUGCUCGCACUAAGCAUGUCGAGAUUGACUACCACUACAUUAGAGAGCUGGUUUUAGCUCAUCUGCUUAAAGUGCAGUUUGUGUGCAGUGCUGAUCAAUUGGCUGAUCUACACACCAAGUCCUUGUCCAAAACCAGAUUCCGCUACUUGUGUUCCAAGCUUCCUCUUGGCAUCACUUCUGAUUCCUCCUCUCGCUUGAGGGGGUGUAUUAGGACAGAUGAUACAUCAUCCAUUUCUGUUAAUGAUAAAUAGUUUGGAAAAACUAAAUGUAGUUAGUUUUGUUAUUAGUUGUGGUUAGUUAGGAUUGUACAAGUUUAGUUAAGGAAGCUAAGGGUAUAAAUGUAAAGAGCUAAAGGCUAUAUAAAUGUACAUCCAUGUAAUUGUUUAUUCAGUCAAUGAAAUACAAUCUUACAGAAGAAGAUUUGUUUCUCUUUAGCUCCCUUAUGUUUUUGUUUUUUAAGUGGCUACUGGCCACUGGCUAAAAGAAAAAGAUAAGAGAUAUGUGCAGUAUAACCAAAACUUUGAGGCCUUAGUUACGUGCCUGUACUUAACGUGCUUCACAAAUAUUUUCUUCCAUGCAUUAAGCCAGGAUUAAUUCGAGAUAGUGCAAGUAAAUAUUAGAGGAGGGCGAUAAGCCAGCAUGCACAUAUAGUUGCAGGCGGUUGCAGUUGUGAACAAAACAUAUGCAAACAAGAACUGUAAUCAUACGGUUUACUAUUAAACUAAACGCUAGUUGGUAUAAGUUGAUUGACUUCCGAAUAUUUAUCAGAUUGAUAACAUGAAAAUUUAGAAAUUAUUUGAGGAAAAUUAAUCAUAAGUUCCUGAUAAGUUUGCAUUUAUGAACGAGAGAUUUUUUAGUGUGAUCAGUACACGGGCUAAUAUAUCAUAUGUUACUGUACAAAUUGGGGAUAUGCGUGGUAAAAAGUUAAUAACUUAAAAAAUAAAAUUUAUUUCCAUUUAUAUAAAAACACGUGGUGUAUAAUUCGUGUUCCGGUCACAAUAAAAAAUUCCAUCAAGAUCAUCACGUGAAGUAUUUAUAUAUUUCCUUAGCACAUAAUAUCAUCUUGGUUUCUUAAUAGGUCCUAAUAAUUAAUCUAUAUAAUGAAAGGUCGCUCCUAUAAUAGUUAACCUAAUGAAGGGUCGCAUGCGGCAAUCACAUGAGGCUAUGUUUCAAGUGCGAAACCUGAAAUUUCACAAAUGUAAGCUAACAUUCUUUUGUUUAUCUAGAGUGACUUAUUUCGUCUAAGAAUUGUUAAUGUGAAGUAGACUAAUUUUCAAUUGGCGUGAGCUAAUUAAUUUUUGCUGACGGGAUGAAUUUCACAGGAAUACAACACCCAAUUUUUUAGCAGAAUAUUGCACGAGAUUGGAGCCCAUUCUAUCUCAAGGGUGGGUUCUCCCUUACACUGUUUGUGUCUAAAACUAAAAUAUAACGUCUAUUUUUAUUGAUUAUUAGAGUGUGGACUUUGAAUAAUUUUUCGAAUAUAAAUUUGUCGACCUAGUUGACACAUAAAGCCACCGACUAAACUACUAGCUCGAUAGGCUAUAGCCUUAGCCUCCUCAUGACCAUCUCCUGUCUUAUGUCUAAUCAUUUAGUCAUAAUCAUAUCCAUUUAGUUUUCCUAUGUUGGUUAUUGGCACUUUCUGUUGUGUUUGUAGGCGAUUUGGAUCGUACAUAUAUGGCCCGCCAUGCAGCGACGUCGACACAUACAUUAUCAGAUUAUUAAAUAUUAUUAUGAGUAAUGAUAUUCUUAUUAUAUUUUCAUAUCAUAUUUCUAUACCAUCUUUGGUGAUAUCUGAUGUGGACAUCCAUAUUAUCUGAAAAAUUUGCAAAAUCCAAAGAAAAGGAAGGAGAAAGAUUCCUCGUAUACCACAAUCAUCAUUUAAUUAACUAGUUUUUAUUAAUUAUUAAUUUAUUAAAUAAUGAACUAAAUUUAAAAAUCUGAUUAAUUCAAAUAAUAUCGCUGUUCACAUCAAAUAUUAACUGAGAUGGUAUGAAAAUGUGGUACAAAAGCAUGGUAUGAAUAACAUUACUCUAUUUUUAUUGGUAAUUAACCCUCCGGAAUAUAUUAAUUUACAUCUGAUUAGCAGAGAUCGACCUGGAUUAAUAUCUUCAACAAAUAUAUUGGCUUGGUUUGAGCGACGUUGGGCUUCUUAAGCUUCUUUCACAGGAGGAUACACCAGUAGCAGUGGUAGCGUCUCGCUCCCCAUUUUGUCAGUUAAUGCGGAGCAACGUUUGAUUUAGGGUUUGUGAUUUUCACACUCAUUCUGUUCGCUUACACUUCUCUUCUCGUUUUCACGCCUUGAUUCUCCAUUUUUCUUUACUCAUUGCCAAAGGACAAAAAAAUAGGAAGGAGUACUGCAACUUUAUAGAAAAAUGUAGAGUGUGAAAAUUAUAUAUGUUGGAAAAGUUAAUAAGUUGGUUUUUUGAUUUAUUUUUAUUUAUGGAUAAUUUGGUAUUUUGAGUAUUAUGAUUUUUUAUAAGAUGUUUUGUUACUUAGUUAGACAUAAGUGGGGGUAAGGCUAGCCGACAUUUACCUCUCUCAGACCCUGCCUAAAGCGGGAGCCUUGUGCACUGGGUACGACCUUUAUAUGUAGGUAUCAGUUGUUGAGAAAUAUGUAUAAAGUUUUGAUGGAUGAUUUGUCUGGGUCCGUACAUACAUAAUCAAAUAAUCUACGAUACCAAAUAUAGCAGAAGAGUCGUUUUCGUAUGAGGGAUAAACAGUAGUUGAAAUAUUCUCUUCCUCAAAUAAACUUGACCGAGCAUCGAUAAAAGAAAGCACCCAUUGUUUAUGAACAGUAGGAUUUUGGAUGUAUUGCUUGGAAAAAGUAAUAUAGAUUGACUAGUAAAAAAGGAAAGUCAUCUAAAGACAGAGAAUAGCACUGUGCAUGAAUAGGAAGAAAAUGCACAACCAAGGUCCCCAUUGCUCGAGAAACUCCUUGAUGUGUUACUUUCCUCCGUGUAUAAAGACAGAAAAAGAGAGAGGAGAAAGAAGCGAAAAGGCCAAAAAACAACCAGAGAUUGAUACCUUUCAUGCAUUUGAAUCAUCAAGUUAUAUAAUUUUAUAUGCAUGCAUGAGUCAUUCCAUUUGGUGAAUUCCAAAAAUGAGAGCGUCACUGUACUCUGUACGACUCUUUAUACGUGAGCAAAAAUAGUAAGAAAAUGAUGUGAUCGAUGGUGCUUAAAUAUUAGGGUUAGGGCAGAGAAGUUGUCUUACUCUAAUAGCUAUAUAGUUAGCUAGUCUUUGCAUUUGCAGGUUGGAACUUUUGGAAGAUUAUAAUAUGGAAGAAGAUUUGAGUAGUACUAGACACAAAGAGAAGGGAAAAGAAGCAAAUAUUGAAGAUAAUGAGAUCCUCAAAAAGAAAAUCUCUACUCAUCCUUUAUAUGGUUUGUUGGUUGAAAAUCAUUUGGACUGCUUGAAGGUUCUUCUUUUUCUUCUUCUUUUUCUUUACUCUUCUUCUUCUUCUUCUUUACUCAUUUCAAAUUUUCAGGUAAGUGGAAUAAUCAGUGAACUAGAGGAAAACGAUGGCUGCAGAGAUAUGAAGCAGCUUGACUACAACUGCAAUGCCAAUUUAAGCGUGUAUGGACAAUCUGACCUCGAUCACUUCAUGGUGCGUAAUUAAGAUCGAUCCCUGAAGGCUAUUUUAUUCACAUUCAUUACUAAUAACCUUUGUUCCUUUUCUGCAUCAUGUUUAAAAACUAAUCAAUUAAUUAACUAGUGCAUGCACACCAAGGCCUCGCUAUUGGUAUCUCAGAUUGGAUUGGCAUGGAUAUAUAAACUACUAAAUUGACGGUAUGUUAAAGAGAGAAAUGAAAUGUUAUGUAGAACUAGAAGGUGAAAGAUGUAUUACUCAUGAAAGAAACUCAUCUAUUCCAGUGCCCCCCUAAAAUGGUAUAGGAUUAGAAGGUUGAGUUUUCUUCAUGUCUAACCCUCUCCAAAUGGAACAUCAUACUUCUCCUUCAACAUACUUUGAAAUUUGAGAGCUAUCUAUUCCAAUCUUAGAGACCAAACGAGACCUAAGAGUACUACUUGUUGAUAUUCACCAACUCUAGCUAGCUAUUAGAAAUACGUCUCUUUUCCAAUAAAUACUGGAACUGGUCAUAAAUUCAAAUCCCCGUUCCCGUUGUUAGGUGUUCCAGUCAAAUUAGCUAAUACUCAUGCAUGUCACAGUUUCCUGGUUUGCUUUUAUUCAUGAAUCAUGGUAGGCCGCAGAUGAAGGCAUUUCCUUCUGAAGAAUAUAUAUACGGAAGAAAGACCAAUCAAUAUGUGGACGAAGCAUAUAUCUAUCUAUGCGUGUUUAUGUGUGUGUGUGUGUUAGCAUAUUUCUUUCUAUUUUGAUUACGUCUGUGGGAUUGACACCUGGUGGUGGUCGAUGCCAGGAAGCGUAUUGCUUGGCACUUGGGAAGCUGAAAGCAGCAAUGGAGGAACCUCAGCAGAAGUCCAUGGCUUUCAUAAGUAACAUGCAGCUGCAACUCGAGGAGAUCAUAAACAACUCCCAUCUAGCCGAUCAACCUGCACCCGCCUCACUUUCUGGUCCGUUUGAAUGAUCUUUUUGAAUUGUCAAUAACUGCUUUGCAAAAUUAAUACAUGAAUACUAAUUACUAAUUAACUACUCAUGUUCUGAACCUUGAAAUUAAUAUCACAGGUGAAAGCUAGAGAUGACUGUAGCACAAGGGCCAUGGGACCAAGAUGAAUUCUGCAGAGUUUAAAGAAUGCUUUCAUAACGAUUAAUAUGAAUAUUGCAGAAUGCUAUUUUCCACUGAUCAUGCUGUGAGUCGUGGCAUUUUCAUGAACCUGUAAACAUGUGUUAUCUGGUCCUUAAUAGCAUUAGUUAUGCCUCUGCUGUAAAUUGUGUUAUCUGGUCCUUGCAAUCUGCUUGGUUCUCUGUUAACUUAAUUAUUAAGGGGUCUUUUAAUUUAUCUGAUAUUUCCAGCAGGGCGAUAAAAGGAAACACAAUCGUUUUCUGAUUUUGCAGUCUUUGCUUCUUUAUUUUUUUUUCACUUUAUUUUCUCUGUCCCUUGAUCUGGUUCAUUCAAUUCAAAAUCUAAAAAAUAGUAAGAAGUUCACCGACAAACAAAAGAGAGUGCGAAAAACAAUCCAAAAACCAAUUAGAAGUUAAACCAACUGUUUAGUACGUUUGGAGGGUGAUUGCCCAAAUAAUAUUUCUUUAUUUUUAAGGAAAUAUUUCACUUGAAGUCAAUAUAUGUUUCCGAUUUUCGGAUUAAGUCAAUCAUCAUUUUUCACUUUAGGGAGAGAGAAAUGAAGAGUAGAUUUUGGCAUGUUAUUUUGAUAUUAAUCGAACGGAAAAUAAAAUAUUGACCUAUGUUUGAAAAUUAAAGGGAAUUUUGCACAACUAUCACCUGAACUUGAAAGCAUGUGCGCAAAUACCAUCUAAACUUUCAAUUUUGUAUUUUUACCACCUGAACUGUAUCAAUUGUUGAAACCUACCACUUAUCGUUUUGCUGUUAAAACAUAUCACUUGUGGGGGCAUUUUCAUCAAUUAACUUUCUAAAUUUUCUGAAAUCACUUUAAACAAAGGAAACCGAUAAACCAUCAUCCGGAGGGAGGGUCUAGUUGUUGCAGGAUACAAAGGGUUUCAUGGAGAGAAAGGAAAACAGCUACGUUUGAUUUUGGCAAGGAUUGUUGAAGAAUUAAAGAAAAAAUUGAUGAAAAAACUAGUUUUACAUACCACGAAAAAGAUCGGAUAGUCAUCAUUUCCCUACCACACCAAUUAUUUUACCCCCUCUAAGAAGAGCAGCAACCAGAAUUUUGGUUCAAAGGUUGUCCCCUAAUCUACUUAGUUAGAGGCCUAACGUUAUUCAUCAAUUGGCUUGCCCUAUCUUAUUCUAACUAGCCAUAUGAAGUUAAUUGACAAAAAUACCCACAAGUAUCAUGCUUUAACGGCAAAAUUGAUGAAAAAUAAAUGUAGAUGGUAGAUUCCAACAACUAAGAGAAUUUUGGUGGUAAAAAACUACAAUUGAAAGUUCAUGUAGUAUUGACGCAUAUGCUUUUAAAUUCAAAUGGUACUUGCGCAAAAUUCCCAAAAUAAAAUGAUUAUCGACCUACGAUAGAAAGAAAUACAAAUUUUUUAUUCACUUGAACCGAAAAUCCGAUAGUUUUAAUUACCUGAACCCAAAACAAUGACUCAGUAAGCAACCAACCCAAGGAAGAUACAGAAAAAAGAAAAAAAAGCAUCUUUGACGCCCAUCAACGAAAGGGAAAAGGCAGUGACAGAAAGCAGAUCUUCAGCUUUGGCAGCAAAUACCAUGCCUCUUUACUUGUCAGCAAAUAUAUACUACUUUUGACUGAGAUGUUCAUGCGGUGCAGCUCAUUUCUUCAAAUAUUUAAGAACAUCUUUAUUUCAAUUGGUUUGGUUGUUCAACUCAGUUGGAAACCAUGCUCUCGGUCUCUUUCACGAAGCCGUCUCCUGUCCAGUCCUUAUCGGAUUGCAAUCCUUUUCGGAUGGCUUUCCUCUGUUUGAUUGCCUCCUGUUGUCUUCUUACUAAAUCUGUAUGUGUUGUAAAGUAUUCGAGGGAAGCCCUGCAAAUUCAUUGAAAGACCGAAAAUAAUAUACGAGUGCAAUUCGGUUCACCUCGACAGAAAAUUUUAUUUAGAUUUAACAUUCGUUCUUAAUAAAGUGCAUACCCCCUGAAAUCUUCAAUGGAUGAAAAAUUGUGCUGUUUCAUAAAAUCCUUCAGCUCGGAACAAAGUUUCUUCACAACACCAUAUCCAUGCAUCAUGACCCCAGUGCAUACCUGCAAAUGAAACUCAAUAACUUCAUACGGGCUAUCUUAAAAAAUUAAAGCUCCACUUAUGCCAACAAAAGAUCAAAUUAAAUGAAAUCAUUAAAGAAAUUCACACACACACACACACGCACACGCACAAAAAGAGUUCACAUUAACAGAGUCCAUCAGCUAGAUUAUAUAGAAUACCAUGAGCAACCCCAAAUUUCUUUUGUUUUGAGUCAAUAUUGAGCCUUCUAGAUAACAAACAACUAUUGGGAGAUUUCAAUCAAUUUUGUACUUGCUAAGACCUUUCCAGUGACUUCCAUCAGUCACGUUGUUUUGCAAUCACUAAUCAUGGCGCGUUACCUAAAUAAUAUGUGCAGCACACUAAAUUAAGUUUCCCGAACCGGAAGUAGUCAUUAGACACUUCCUAAUGUAAAUUAGCAAUAGAAGGGAAAGUAUGAACAGAGCAAAUGUUAUCUCUGUACCAACAAUGAUUUUUUGAGAGAAAAUUAUAGUUUAUGUAAAUUUCUAAGUCAAUUAUGAGAUAUACAUUAUUCAUUGUGAACUCAAAUUGAGAGAUCCCAUGACCACUCUACAGUGCGAGUUGAAUGUCCAAAGAGUUGGUCAGUCCACCUAACUAUAGAAAUCGUAGAAUCUUAAUAUACAGAAACUACAACAGUUAGUUCGCAACCUACCUGAACAGUAUUUGCUCCAAGAAGAAUAAACUCAGCAGCAUCGCCACCAGACUCAACACCCCCAAUACCAGAAAGCGAGUAAUCCGUAUCACCAAACUCUGAUUUCAUUAACUUUGCAAUGUUCAUCACUUUCGCCAGUGCAAUUGGAUGAACCGCUUUAGCCGAAUAGCCCCCAGGAGUUGAGUAUCUGAGAGAAAAUUAAGCAUGUUUCCCUGAGAUGAAUGACAAUUCAAACCAAAUAAUAUGAGUUUCUAGUUUCGGCAUGCAUACCCCUCCACACAAGGCUCGGGCCGUAAGGUAGUUAGAUUGAUUCCCAUUACACUCAUGAUGGUAUUAAUAGCUGACACGCCCUCGCAUCCUGAGCUCAGAGCGACUCUAGCUGGCUACAAAACAAAACGAUAAUGGAUCUGAGCAAGAUCACAAUAGAACUAACCGUCCACGAAAGUGAUAAACAUCUCAUAACAUGCACAUAAAAGGAAAUGUAAACAAAUAGGAAAAAAUAUUUAAGAAAAGAAACUACUGUUAUUGAGAGCCGUUCAUGUUGAAUUUCUCAACAAGAAUACAAGAGUCAACACAUCUUUAGCAAUGCAAGAGAAGGAGAAACAAGUUAACCUGUGUGAUGUCAGUAAUGUUAGGAGUCAUCUUUGCCCAAACAGGAACUGUGGCUUUGGCAUUGAUCCAGCCACAAACUUCUUCCAGAAGUACACAGUCCUGACCAACUGCAGCACCCAUCUUGCGCUCUGGCAUACCAUGAGGACAGGAAAAAUUGAUUUCAAGAGCAUCCUAAGGUAAACAAGUGUGGUGUUAGAUGGAAGACGAUCCAAGAUUAAAGUACAAAACUUAUAAUAGAAACUUAGUUAAGUACUACAUCUUACAACUCCAGUUUGCUCAACACGGUCAAUAAGUUCCUCCCAGGCAGCUUUGUUGUAUUCCUCCAUAAUUGAAGCAAUCAGAAUCCUAUCUGGAUACUCUUCUUUUAAUUGCUUGAAUUCUUUCAACAUAAUAUCAAGAGGUCGAUCACUUAUCAGUUCUAUGUUCUCCCACCCAAUAAUUUGCCCUUUGGCUGAGCCAUUUCCAUCUACUCGUAGCCGAGCAUAUCGAGGAGUGACAUUUUUUACUUUGUCUGCCUCUAGUGAUACCUAUCGAAACAUAAAUUAAGAUUGAAUUCAAAAAUUGAAACGUAGAGAGGAAACCAUAUGCACGCACUGGCACACACACAGAGUACUAAAUACCUUAACAGAAUAUUAUGAGUUAUUAUCUUGUAAGAUUCCUUCUUUGCAAGAUACCCAGUCCACUGGUGCAAAGAUCAAUUUUUUUUUUCAUACAGAGGUCGCACUUGGUGCGAUGGCAAGUGCCUUCGCCCAUGAGCGGUAGGUCUCGGGUUCGAGACUUGGGAGCAGCCUCUCCAUAAAUGGGGGUAAGGCUAGCCGACAUUCACCUCUCCCAGACCCUGCGUAAAGCGGGAGCCUUGUGCACUGGGUACGACAAACAGGCUAAAAAAAUUCACAGAUUCGUCCAAUUUACCAUCAUCAAGUUUGGUUUUUACUCUUUAAAACUAAGAUUACGUAAAUGAAUUUAACUAUGUCGGAGAUUGGCAUUGGCAUUGUAGAUGCUGGAAAUCAGAAAACCGCAACUAAAUAGAAUUGUGGCAGAGAAGGACCGGCCAAGAAGCCACCACCCUCCUAAUGCGGCAACUACUGCAAACCAACUUGUUGAUCUCCAGCAGGGUUUGUCACAUAUGCAUCAAAGACUCCAAAUUCAGCUAUGGAAAUGACCAUAGAGUUCGUUAAAAAAGAGUUAGUUGAUCAGCAAAUGGGCUUUCACUUUCAACAAUUUAGCGACAAAAAUCACUAAAUCUGAAGACUUUUUGGCCGAAUACAUCUACUAACGGGACAAUUGGCAUUUCUAUAUUAUCAAAUCAUUUAAGCUUUUAGCUAAAAUAGCACCAACUAGACAAAAUCAAAGAUAUCAAACACAUAUAAUGAUCCAAGUUUCAUUCUUUACUUCAUCAUACUACCACCCAAUAUCUCUGCUCAACAUCAUUCCAAAUUUUCUUUCCCUGGACUUUCUCAGUAACCAAACAGCUGAAUUAUGCCAAUCAAACAGUCCAACCUCACAAAUUCACAAUCUUUUCAUCCAAUUCAAACUCGGAAUUUAAACGAGAGACAAAGAGAGCAACGAGACUUACAGUUUUGGCAAUCACAGCACCCCAGCCUUCAUCAAAGGCCCUCUUCAUCACCGUAUAGUUAGUCCCCGGCGGACCCGACCCGAUAACAAACGGGUUGGGCAUGUGCAACCCGUUAACAGUAACACUAAGAUCAGGCUCCGCCUUGCUCUCGGAGGCAAAGACCCUGAACCCUACUCGGCUUGGCCGAGUUAAACGCACCUCAGGACGAGUUCUCCUGGAAAAUUCAGCAACUGGGUUUUUGCCUCCGAUCUGAGUAAAGCUGAUAGACGCCAUGGAUCAAGAAUUUGGGUCACUCUUCGACAAAGAAUCCUCCAGAAAAAAAACUAGAAGGAGCAGAGGAAGAAGAAGAUGAUGAUGAGGAUCAAGAUUGAAUCCGAGUUAAAAAUAUUCAGUGGGCGGACUCUAACAACAACGUGGAGUUGGAGGAAUCGGUUGCGUCUUGUAGCACUUGAUUGAAUUGAAUUGAUCGUGGAAAGUUUGAAUUUUCUAAUUCGAAGAGGAGAGAAUGCAUGUGGACGGCGACAGACGGGAUUGGCAGGAAUACUUGUUUCUUUUCGCUGAGGAUUUGUGAACUGUGUUCGUUUAUUAUUAUUUGUACAGUUAGAUUUUGUUAAGUAUUUUUUGUAUUUAAUUUUAAAUAAAAAUAUUUAAAAUAUUUUUUUGAUCGAACGAUGUACGAUGAACGGUCAAGAUUGACGAAUCCCCGAGAUCCUUACAAAGAGAAUCCGGCAAGGAUCCAGAGUGGAUAUCAAAUCUUCUCCGUUAAUUUUGUGUGUGCCAUUAAUAGUUGAUUGAGGUGUGUUAAGUUUAUAACAAUAUAAAACAACAAAUUAAAUAAAACAAUAAAAAAACAAAACAACACAGGGUUAAAUUUAUUACCACGUAUAAAACUCAUUUUCCAAAACAAAUUUAAGCAGUGUGUUGUUAAGAACAAAUUGAAGCAAUAUAUGUCACUUGAAAAGUGCUUCAUUUUUUUUUACAGAAACAAUGCAUAGUUUUUAUUAAAAAUGAUACUUUUACCAUAUAUUUUUAUCAUUUUUCUAAUAGAGGUGAGAUCCACUAUGUGUUGGUGAGACCAACAAUUAUUAUAGAGAUGGUACAAAUAGAUGGUAAUUAGAGUAACACUACAUUUACCAUUAUGAAAGAAAGUAUAGGUUGGCAUUUGGUAUUUGACAUCUUGUAAUUUGAUGGUAUUGAGUAAGAAAGGUUGUCAUAUUUGUCAAGAAGCUUCAAUCGAUUUUUCUUUGCUGCUUCAUUCGUUGCACUAGUGUACGUAUCAUAUUUGAAGUUUCAGAUUUGUAGUUCAACUGGUUUCGAGUGUUUAUUCUAAUUAUACUUGAAAUCUAGUGUUUUUGGUAAUGUUUAAAUUUUCCAUCUUUCAGUAUGGCUCGUAUGAAAUAGAUUAGUUGUGCUAAUGGACCCAAAGGGAAAGGAGCAAUUCUAAGGCUGGUAAUUGUUUAGCGAGAUAGAGUUAGGGUUACUCCUAGAUAAACCUAAGAAAAAAAUACCGUGAAAGAAGCCGACGUAAAAGCAGUUUACUGUAUCACCCCGAUGAGUCGACGUCGGUGUUCACUCAGGAUCUAAUCUUCUUUUUAACUUUUGAUCGAUGGCUGAAGAAGAUUAUAUAAGAUAAAUUUUUUCUGUGUUAGUUUGUGAGUUUCAAAAUGACAAAGAAAUUUUGGGGUUGAAUGGUUGUUUUGAGAAAUUACACCAAACUUGGUGUUGGGGCUUAAAAAGACCUCACUAUUUUGAAGUUGUUUAUUUCACAAAGAAGAAUGUAAUGUAGCAGAAUUGAUAAGCAAGAGAAAGAAAGAACACUCAACGUAUUACACAAAAAAUUUAUUCACUCACAAACUAGUACAAGAGGAAGCACUCAAACACUCUUAAAAGUUUUGUUGCUUCUUUUCACUUCUCACUACUUGCUCUCUUGGUUGUUACAUCACAUAGCUUAGCAUCUCACCUAUUUAUAAGCAAGGUUUGCCAAUUUUGGCAUUGCUUGAACUUUCUAGCUAAUGCUUAACAACCACAUAAUUUUACAAGAUUCUAGAUUUUUCUACAAAAAGUCUUAGAUAUUUAUGCAUGCAUUCCACCAACUUGAACUUUGCUAGAACUCUCUAGCAUGUGCAUGGAUCUUUCUUUGUGCAUGGACCGGAUCAAUUGUUUUGAGCCAAGACAAAAUUACAAUUCAACACUUGGUUCGUUAUGGAAGUUGGUGGUUUAUUUCAUCAUAAUGAUGACAUGCCAGGGGGUAGCUGUUGUAUCACCAAGAUUGUGCUUAUGCCAGGGGGGUAGCGAUGUCUGCGAAAUUAGAGAUCCUUAUGCAACAAUUUUAAGGGCUCAAAACCGUGCUCAAUCAUCUCACUGCACACCCUCCAUAGCCUAAAACUCAAUCUCCUCAUGAGAUGUCAAAAUGAUUUUCAACCGAACGUCUUCUUAUGACCACUCAUAAUGCAUUUAAGGGCUAUGUGAUGCAUGUUUUCCAUAUAGUUGUCAAGUGCAUACAUUACAAACUUUGAUAUUUCCAACCCAACGUCUUCUUAUGACCACCCACGAUUAAAUACACUUUAUCAAAAGUGAAAUAUGAUAUUAAACUUGGUUGAAGACAUAAAUGUUACCACUGCAUGAGGGCAUGGUUUGGGUUAGUGUAGUUAGAUCUGCCAUAUGCUUUGUUUUUUCUGAUGCUGGCAUUGCUACCAGCCAUAUGCUUCUUUGGUGUUUUGUGAAGAUCCAAAUACCACAUCUUCUGCAACAGGCUACGCAUAGCAGAUAUACUCUGUUAGUUCAUUUUCGGAAAAAUUAGUAUCCGGUCCCUAGUUUUUACUGUUUAUUAACUAAGACCUUAUUAGUUAUCAAAUUUUGAUUCAAGUCCCUAGCAUUAAUGUG
rnacentral:lncRNA from 1 species